UGGCCUCUGCGCGGAGUGAGAUUGGGCCAAGUGGUGUUAUGGUCCUACUUUCGUGAAUGCGUCGAAAGGUAUAAGUGCUCUUUUGAACAUAAGUUAUGAACUGUGCAUGUCAUAAGUGUAAAGAUCUUUAUCAUAGGACUUGGGGAAGUUAGGUAUGUAUGUCAGGUAAGAAUCUUUAAUAUGGAUGAUUUACACUUGGGACCGGCCUGCUCGAGUUGUGAAUUAUCUUAGAUGGGAUUCUUGCGCCCGAAUACGAAAGAGAUGAGAGUUUAGGUUAGAAAGGACUUAGACGAACUAGAAACGCAAUUCUAUGAAAUUUCGUGUGGUUUGUUCGAGUGUGGUUAAGCGUGAUCAACUUUCAUUAAGAUAUAAAUGGUGUUGUUCUCGUAAAUUAUGGACGGAACCCUAGAGGGGGAAAAGCUUUUCGUUAGUUUUUUUUGUACUCGUGACCUAGUCUGUCUAUAGUACUUUUGGAUGACCCCGUUACUUUCAUGGAUCUCUCAUAUUUGUAUCUAAUUGACUGCUACUGUGUGACUGGUUCGGUACAGUUGUGUGUAUAUAUAUGCUUUUGAUCUGUGAGUACCUCUUGUUAUUUGCUUAUGCCUAUAAUUAUCUUUAAUAUUAUCUUUGCACCUCGACCUUAGAUUGACUUAGAUCAAUGAAGGGCACUUGUAGUGUACGAGGCCGCGGGCGUGGAAUUAGGCAACCCACUUCUGAAAGGGGCACUGGGGAAACUUCGCCUGGACCUAAUCCUGAACCUAGGGUUGAUCCUAACGUCCAAAUAGCUGCUGCUAUGCAGCAAAUGACUGAUUUGCUAGCUCAAGUGGUGCACCAACAGGGUCACAACCCUAACCCCAACCCUGGGAACCCUGGUAACCACGUGGAAAGCGAGGACUGGGCCCUCGAGAGAUUCCAGAAGUUUGUCCCACCAAAGUUUAUUGGAGGACCCGAUCCAGAUGUAGUCGAAAGGUGGCUAGAGAAAAUGGUUGGAUGAUCUACUAUACAGUUGGAGUUCUAGUUUUAACUUGUGUAAUAGUUGAAACUGCAAUUGUACUUGUACUUAUGUGAGAAUUGAUGACCUUUGUUUUAUUCGGGUAAUUAGUAUUUCUUGUAUCUCUUGAGGUUCUAGUUUGUAGUGCAAAUGAAUUUGUGGAACAUUUGAUGUAUAUUUGAGAUUUAUAUUGGAAUUUAUUUAAGAACUGAAGUGAACGAUUGAGUUCCGGCGAAAGUUGGGCAGGCGGUUCGCUGAACCCUUUGGUUCGCCUUAGGGGGAGGUGGGGCUGUCACAAGUUUCAUGAAAUUUCCCACAGGAACACCUUUGAAACCAUCAUCAUUUUUUUUUACUCAUCAAUAUCCUGUAUUCAACUGGAAGUACACUUGCUUCCAUGUGUUUCAUGGGGAAUUUUCUGCUUUCCUUGUAACUUUGUAACGCAGACCGGUAGGAUGCAUCUACCUUCAGUGCUUGUUAACAAGGAAAAACCUUGGUAGUCCAUCUUAAUAUAAUAGCUCUUCCUAUCCAAUUGGAAAAAGCUUAGAACUUUUAGUGUUUGCAGGAGACUUGCAAAGAACCAGAACUGAUGGGCACAGGACCUCUCUCCCGAUGGCCUAGGAAACUCGUAAUGGUGUUUUUGGGGGGGGGGUGGUGGGAUGGAAGUUGGACUCUUCCCUUAAAGUAAAAGCAGCCUGUAAAUCUCGGGUCUACAAAGGUGAAGCGAUGCAUUUAUUUUCGUUCAACUUCAGUUUCCAUCGGAGUUUUCCACUACCAGAAGGGAUCUUAAUCGGAGAAUCAAAAAGAAGGAAAGAGAACUACUGAUAAUCUUUUUCAAUUCUGAGAAACUCAGGCCUUGCUUGGAUUGCGAUUUUUCGUCGGAAAAUUACGUCGUUUUCCGUGAUCACAUUUCCCUAUUACCUUUUUCCCUUACAUACAUCAAAUCGUUACAGUAAUUUUUUCAUGAAAAAUCAUGAAAAAUAUAAUCCAAACACAACCUCAGACUUUUUGCAGAUAAACUUAAUCCCCAAAAAACUACUGAUAGUCGUGGAUCAAACUAAUGUGAAAUAGCAGGUGCAGAGAAUGUUAAAAGUUUUUUACUUGAGUUUUGCCCAAAUGCGCGAGUUAUUCGACUCGACACCUUAUGCGAAUUAUAUAAACAAAGUUCCUUUACACCAGACGACACAGCGAGCGGGGGAGCGUACAAGUGACGCUUUCCCAAUUUUCCAUUGUUUAUGAUACUACACCGUAGCAUAGCCUAGCUGUCUGUCACCAAAAUGUCAUUGGUACAAUUUAAUGACGGGCCUUCAUUUAAAAAAAAAUGUUAAAUGUCAAAAAGCUAGAAAUUUUUAUAUUUUUUAAUCAUUCUUUUAACUUGCAUAUUAAACUAUAUUUUUUUUAUAAAGUUUUUUUAAAAAUAGUAAUCCAAAUUGUCGUGCCCACGCAUAACACGAUCAACAUGGGCCAUCUUUUCUAGGUUGAUUUAAAUUCUGGUACUUUCGAGUCUCGUGAAAAACGCGUCUUGGGUGAGAACUGAGGCUCCUCAUGACGCAAAUUGUACUCAGAAAGAAAGAGUGCUAGUACUACCUCUACCUCUGCCUCUGCAAUUAAACGAAUCAAAUUUCCGCAACGAAGGCGAAAAAUGAACGCGUGCCAGGCUUCCUAAUCAAGCACAUGAUUUUCCACGGUCACCACAGAAACACGUACUCGAGGCCCAGGCCAAAACAUCUACGAAAAGAAAGUUACUGGUUCGCAUAAGGGUUCUAUGGUUGCCUCUAAAUUCAGGAAAAAAAAAAGAAAAAGAUGAUAAUGUUCUAUAAAAUAAAUUCCAAGAGGUAUGGAAUGGGGACCGUGGGGGGAUGGGGAUGUCCGAGAGCUGCGUGUUUGUUGGUGUGUGUGACUGUAUGUACGAGAACUUGUUACUUGUGAGUAUGGGAAUGGGAAGUACAGGAAUCAUCAGUAAGGCAUGCAAUCGCAAUGACAGCUGCAGGUAAAGGCCAAGGGGCCCAACCCCACGUAUAUCUUGCCCUUAUCGUCCCCCACCGUGCAGUAUGCACUUAUUUUUACACUCUCCCUGAUUUUUCCCUCUUUUUCUUGUGGUGACUGACCUUACUCUGACGUCCUCCCCUGUUCUGUACCGCUGCUUAUUCGGACACUCUUCAAUUUUAUCAUCUGGGUUCCUUUUUUGUUUUCGUCAACAUGUCAACCAUGGUUUCAGUCCGGAAUUUCUUAUCUGGCAGCCAUUCUAAGCUUAAGUUUGCUUUCUCACCUAAGAUUCUACACUUGGAUCUUUUGAAUGUGAUUAUGGUGCUUCAUCAGAUUCAAUCAGUGUCAGAAUUUCUCUUCUCUUCUCUUUUUCUUUUAUCAUGCAUUCUUUGUUAUUUAUUUUUUAUAUUUUCUACUUGUUAGUGCGUUAGAUUUCAACUAAUGAGUGCUGGAAGAUUGGUUUUUGAUGUCAUUAUUGGUCUAAAAAAUCAUUUUUGUCUGCCUUUUUCAUUGUUCACAGGAUUUUGAAUUAUGGAAAUGAAACACAGGAUAGAACUUUACUCUUCCUUUUUUCCCAAAUCCCUAUUGUUGGUUUUAUUUUCAAGUGCUUCUUAGGGGCAUUUAGUUGGGUUGAGUUGUAACAUGGAUGGAAAUUUUCCAAAUUUUCUUCUAUUGGAAAAUUUCCAUUCAAAUAUGUCUCCAGAUCUUGGUUUUUUUUUUUUUUCUGGGCUUAUGCCUCUUUGUGUUCAUGGUUUAAAUGCACAAAGUAAGAACUUGCUAACCAUUUGAACCAUUGGACGCCACUACCAUAUUUAUAAGAGCUAAACAUGGUGGAACACUCGCCUUCACUCGAUUAACUUUUUGGAAUCACUUUUUCUCCUCAAAAUGACUUCUGUGCAAGAGCUUGUUUUACCUAUAUAAUGGACUACGAGAUAAGCUCCUGGAUCUUCCACUUGUCUCAUGUCAUUAGUUUGGGCUAUUUUCUCUUUAUAGGUGUCAUCACUGAAUCUGUUCUGGGACUAUAGCUACUUCUUAAUCUGCUUCAGUCAUUUUACGCAAUAGGCCACAUUUGUGAUGCUGGGUUUGGCUUUCUUUACGUGGUGAUGAUUGUGACCUUGACCAAGGGAUAGCUUUCCUUAUAAACAAUAUUAGAUGAUUCCCAGUCAGAACAUUCUAAAAAGUAGAAUUUAAAGUUUAUCCAGGAAAAAGGGUAAUUUAUUUUGCUGUGCUGUUAAUCAAAUUCAAGCAUUUUUCAAUCUUAGUCAAUCUCAAAUUGGAGAUUACUUGGCCUUAUGAUUGGUAAAUGCUUGAUAUUUCCUUACUUCAAUAACUAACAAUAUCGAUUCAUGUUAUUAUACCAAAGGUCACAAGAAAUUAACUAGAGAAGUAGCCUGUGUUCUGAUGCAAUACCAUAUGACUACUUUUGACAAACAACUUCAAGGACUACACAACCAUGUGCAUCAGCGUAAGCAGCAAUAGAACUAAGAUGGGGAAAACAAUUUGUUAAUAAGUUGAAGGACAGAUAUGCAACUUUUUUUCCCAAAGCGAUAAUGGUGCUGUAUAAUCAGAAGCGACCCACAAGUUUGACAAAGUUGUUAACAUUGAGUAUGGAGGUGAUAAAUCACAUUCUUAAUAUUUUAUUCCACUAAGCUGAAAGGAACAAAAGUAUUGGUGCUUCUAAGGAUGCACUUGUUUCUUUUGUCAGGGGGAAACCAGCUAAAAUCAGUUAUAUCAACUACAGAAUUGUGAUAAAAAAGAAAACCAUAUUCCUGACAUUAAGAAGAUAGCCGAGUUCAAUAUAGGGACAUAAUAUAACUGCAAUGAUGCAUGCCACUACCCAGAGAAACUAUAGUGCUGAACUAUUUUAACAAUCGAAAGGCAAACAUGUGAAGUGAUAAAUGAUAAGAUCAAAGUUCAUAAUAAAAGAAACCUGAAGAAGGCCCUGACUCGUGCAUGGCGCAUAUGAGAGUGAAAUAACUAUCCACUCGCGAACAAUUUUCUGGUAUAAAGAACGGACAGUAGCAACCCAAGCAGGGUCGUGAACGGCAGCUGAUGGCAGAUCAUUGUGGAUAGAAAAAAGUAGGGAAUCCAAACAAGAAGAAUUCCACAAAAUCUGUAACAAGUACCAAAGGUUCAAGUAAUCUCAGAAUCUGAAGAAAAAAUCAUGCAAUGCUGAACAUUUUAUUCAAUCUAUAUCACCAAAAACUUUAACCUGCGGAAACUUAUCUCUGAGUUGAUUCAAUAAAGUUACUGAAAUAUCACGAAUAUGCUCGUCCCUCUGAGACAAAUUUUUUAUAAGAAAACAUGCAUGGAUGGAAAGGGCAGAUUCUCUACUCUCAGCAUCAUGACCAGUCUCAGAAGCCCGUUCAUCCUGCAUCCAGAAGCAAGGAACAGAUAUUUCUGACGUUCAGUCUGUCAUGUAAAUGCAGAAAAGUUUCUUCCAACUUUCUUUCUUUUUAGGAUAUAUCCGUUGGGGUGGGCAGGGAUAGGUGCAGGUGGCAGAGACCAAGUUCCCAAGUUUUAUUUUUAAAAUUCCAGUAAAAACUUAGACAGAAGUGCUGAAAAGGUAAAACCUUCAUACUAAGAUAGAUAUAGCUGCAUAAGUACACAAUGGCAUAGAAAAAAUGGGAAAAAAAAUUCCGAGAGGAUUGUCGACCCCUUUGAAUACUCAACAAAACAGGAAAUAACAAAAUACACAAGCCCCUUGCUAAAACUUGCUUCCUCUUCCCUUGCUCUUAUCUUCCCAUAAUGGUCCAGAACUACCAAUCUCUCAACCCUGAACAUAGACUUGUUUGAGCAAACCAUAUUUCACCAGAAAAAGUUAAUACAACUUACCAAACUUAUAAACUAUCAAAAAAAUUAAGAUACGAGAAUUACUACCACACUAAAUGAAUGCAAACUCAUAUAUAGCUUCAUUUAUAAAUAUAUUAGUUUGAAUAUUAAAAAAUUGAACAAACUAAUAUAUACAAAGAAAUAAAUGGUGGACAAGACCCAUAUAGGUGGUGAAAGAGAGCAUACCAGCCAAAGUAUUGCUGUUUCAAAGGCCCGGUGAACAAUUGCUGUCAAGCACUGAGAGACAGCUGGCAUGAGAUUUGGACUUUUCAAAUACUCAAAGACACAGCUGAAGGCACUUCGAGAAGCCGUUGAAUUAGGGCUACCAUUGAGCAUGCCACCAUUACUACUGAAUCUGAUUAUCUCUAGAAACGCUACAGCUAAAAGAUAAGUUGCCUUGACACCUGUAGAACUCAGAGCAGAAAGAAUCAGAAGAGCAUACAAAAGAGGAUAUAAUGCCAUUAACUUUUCUCAAUACUGAUUGGCAAAUAACAUGGGAUAGUGAUGCUAAUAGUACCACUGAAUUUCAUCAAACCUGAGAUUGUGCCCAUUCCCGAAACCUCCACGCGCCUGCCUAAAGCAGCUGAAAGAGCAGAUCUUUGGCUUACAGCAGCUUUUUCAUUGCCACUACCUCGCCGGCUACCCGGGUUAUGAAGAGCAUUAAGUUCCAACUCAUCUUCAAGCCAUUUUACAGAGCUAACAACCUGGAUAGGAAAAAAAAUCGUUGACCCUUUUUCAAACAUAAAACAUUGAAAAUGACGAAAGAUGAAAGAUCAACCCAAAAAGUGUAAAAGAAGGGUCUUUCAAGAGCUACUCAAAAUAAUAUACUGAAAGAUCUUAAGAAUCACCUCUUAAUGCAGUAACUUUUUAUUUAUAAGCUAAAAUUUGAAACUAACUUUAAGCAUGAUUUUGUGUUGAAAUAUUUUAUUGUUGAAAAUAAACCAGAGUAAAUCAGUUCCAUUGUCAAGUUCAAGAGUAACAUAACAUGUAGUUGACAUCCUAGAUGUUUCUACAAGAGACAAUUAGUGGUCUAUUAACUAUAUUCUAUUAAAUCUUAGAAAAACUAUGACUUUCAGAAGACGUAUCUUAACUCAAGAACAGUGGUGAAUAAUGACAUAAGGCACCCUCCAUUUGUUUAAUUGCAUUAUCCACUCAUGCUCUGUUCUUCUAUCACCUCCUUUCUCCAAUCCAGCUGUUUCUUUUGAAUGCAAAGAGCCUCAUUUUAAUGAUCAGAUCAAGCCUAAAACCCUAUAUUCUGAAUACCAAAAGAGCCCCUAGAAUAUACUUCAAGAAUAAUUUGUAGGAGGGCAUUGCCCUACACUUGAUGAAUUGAAUUAUAGCUGCACGGGUCUUAUAAACAAUAAACACAAAUGAAGAACCAUCUAAUAUGAUAUCAAGACCAUCAUGCUUAAAGCUUAAGCAAAAUGGAUGUAAACGUGUUCACUAGGUAGUCUGAACCGACAUCAUGCCAACCCAGUAAAAAAAGAAAUUCCCGGUAAACAGCCCUGGCUUAAAGGUUACAUAAUGGCACAAAUAGAAGACACCUUUACACUGACAAGAAAUUGCACGCAUUUAACACAACAAACAUCCUCAAAUGUUCAUACAUCCAAAAAUUUUGACAAAACAACAAUAAGCAACAGGCAGAUAUAUUGAACUAAUAACUGAGCUGUGCUCAGCCAAAAUCCAAAGAGUUCUAGCUAUGUUUGUGAUAUGAUACAGGAUGUGAUGGAAAUCAAAUGAGGUAAGAUGUGUGUGUGCGUGUGUGUAUAAAGAAAAUAUGAACUUACUAGGGGUGGAGUCCCUUGAGAGAUGCGCUGAACUGCAGAAGCCCACUGAGCAUUCCACAUGUACGGUCCACCAACAGCCUGGACUGCAAUUACACCCAUGCUACCUACACUAUUUAGAGAAGUGGACACUGACUUUGUCGUCACCUGACCUUUUUGUAUUGGAGGAGCUAGCCCAAAAAGAGCUAUAUAGAACCACAAAUUGCGAAAUAAUUUUAAGAGUGAAGGUUCCACAUCUAUAGUAGGAUCAAAAUCCGAGCAUAUUUCAGCCACAGCAGGGAGUAGAGGACCGAGAAAAUCUGCUCCACUCCUGCAAAUGUGAAGCAUUAGUGAUCAUACAAUAUCCAAACACAUUUUAUCAAACAAUACUAUUUUGGAUCUAAUAUCAGAAUGUCUCACCUUCCACUUUUGGAUUCAGCAGCUAAGCCUACAUCUGAACACAAAGAUAGCAGACGAUGACGAAAAUCUGACCUCAAUUUGGUAUCAGUUAGGCCACCAGCAAUCACAAGAAAUCCUGCAGGAAGAGUCUAGAAUGUGAUUGAACCAGUGAGCAUAGCAUUUAAGAUGACAAAAUAUCAUAGCAAAAAAGAUACAUGGACAAGUUCUCACAUCCAAAGGGAACAGCGUACCUCAACACGUUCUAUCGUGGCUUCUGGUGCCACAGUUUUACUUUCAGCAGAGCCAACAGCAGAGAGUUUACUUAAGUAGCUUCGGAUCAAUAGAACAACAGCUUCACGAUAAGAUUUCUCAAAACCUAAACUCGCCAGGCGAGAAACAGCAUCAAGAAGCUGCAGUAACUCAACAAAAACAGGUUGAGAGAUGAUGCUGUAGGUUCAAUAUUAGCAGUAGCUAGCAAACUAGUAAUGCUAGUCAUGUAGUAUCUAAAAGACCCGACAUGAUCGCUAAUAAACCCUAUACCUGGAGUCUCAGUAGGCCUGGGGCCGAGGCAUCUCCCUCUUCUAAACUUUCAAUAAAUAGUGGUAAUAUCAAGUCAACCACUUCAGGCUUGUUAACAGAAACAUUUAAAUCCGCAAGCAAGCGAAUCAUGUUAAGUUGCCCAGCAGAAGCUGCCUGCUUAUCUUUUGCAUCAUGCGAUUGCUGAAGCUACAACAAUUAAAGGACAAACCACAUAAUCUAUCAAAAACAUAUCACUCUGGUAAAGGAGCAAAUGAAUUGGGCCUUUAUAACCAUAAACCACUUUUCAAGGCCAACGUGAAAAUCAGGCGAGGAAGAAUGACUAAUGCCUAUACAGUCUCCUGAUUAUAGUACUACCAGCAGAAUACAACAAUUGUAGUUUGAGUACACUUUCAAAUAUGAAAACAUGACCUUGAAUUGCCAAGAUUACCCAGCUCCCUUCCUACUGUUUUUAUCAUCCUGACAAGCACAUGUUACACUUCUUAUAGCUGCCAAUGCUUUAACAGCAUGCACCAGUAAAAGGUCAAACAAAAAACGCUAUAAAUGAAACUGUCCUAUGUGCUCACCUAAAGGGCAACCAGCACACAGAGCUGCCAUGGAUUAAGAGCCCAGAAGGGCUAGUUUCACAAAAAUAUCUCUUGAUACUAUGCAUGCACCAACCUCAUCUGCAGAUCUGUCAUGAUUAACAAAUGGGUUCUCUACAACAGCAUUUGUACCAAUAACUCUCUGGAUCUCCACGACUUCAACUUUAAAGAUAAAACUGAUCCCAAAAGGCAAGUACGGAAUAUCAAAAGGUAAAUGAGAAAAUGGUCUUCCGCAUCAUUCGAUUUUUAGAGGAAAACGAGCAAGACGAUGUUUACCAAAAGUUGCUGCUGAGUGCACCAGAGAAGAAUUCUAUUGAGUUGAAUUAAAAAGUUAUCAAGAACCUAGGCAAUAAUGGUGGGGAACAAUGAUGAGGACAGCAUAGAAGAAAAAACAUCCUUGCUGUGGCAAGAGCCUAGAAGGGAAGAAAUGGGAAAGAGAAAGCUUUUCUUUUGUUGAGAACCUUUAAAUGAAAAGAGACAAAGAGAACAGGGAUAAAAUGGAAGAAUAAAAUGGGCAAAAGGUUUUCUCUCAAAAGAUGGAGAGAAAAUGAAAGAAAGUUGACAAUUCCCUUGUAAAAUUUUUCUGAAAACCAACUUUAAUCAUCAAAUGCUCACGAACAAAAAAUUAACGUAUUAUCAAUCCAAAAUCAUUUUCCCUUCCCUUCUUCUCUUUCAUAACUUUAUGUUUACGUUUCUGUUCGCUUCUUUCCGUUUCUCUCCAAACUCCCAAACUAAGCCCACGUAUCAGAAAAUGACGAAUUUAGGCUCCCAUCUCAUAGCUCAUGCAUGAAGAGAAAAAUGUAAAGACACACACUAAACGGAUAGUUGACUAGUGGACAAACAUGCAUAUGCUUUUGCAACUUCAAGAAUGCAAAUUCAUGUCCAAUAUGUACAUGAUAGCAACUUAAACAGUUUGCAAUUCAAAAUGUCAAUGAGUUGCAUAUCAACCUACCUCUUCUUCAUAAUCUUUACGUUCACGAAAGCUAGUAGCUAAUCCCAUUAUAAAAGUAUCCACAGGCGGCCGUUCCUUGAUCCAUCCAUAUUCAAUUAUUUCACAAGUUGCUUUCAAGACACUCUGAAACAUUGCACCCUGGCUGCUGCCCCAAGUGUCAGCCUGUUUGAAAAAAUGAAAGUGCACCAACAUUUCAGUAAGUGACGCAUUCAAGGCACUAGAACUUAGACCAUCACAACUCAAAUAAAUGGUAAACCUGAAUACAAGUAGUCAGCACUAGGGGCUUGAAACGAAUAAGCAAAACUCGCAACAGCUGGCCACCACGUGCAACAGCAGCUUGGGAAAUUCCACCGAGUAAAGAGCCAAAUAGCUCCUCGCAAAUCCUCAACUUCCGCCACACUGAAAAUAAACAUGCCUCAGCAGCCUCUAUCAACAAUGCAAGAGUUCCAUGCAAGAACCUCUUUGAUGACUUUCCGUCAAGGUCAACAGAUGCAAGAAUCUUAAUCUGUAACUUAGCCACUGCUUGGUAAACAGAUAGCUUGGUACUGACUCUUGCUUUCAAUAAAUGCCCUUGUUCAGACCAGUCACGCUUUCUUAUCUGCCCAGAGAAGAGACAAGAUAACCGGCUCAACUUUCUUUCACUAGUACUGCCCUUUUCCUUCUAAAAAUCAAUUUGUGGCCUAGUAACGAGUUACAAAAACUAAAAGAUGAAUAAUUCAGAAAUCCUACCUUUAAAAAUGCUAACAUUGAUUGGAGUUGUUCCUUUGUGACAAGUCUCACUUGUUCCAAAAGCUUGGAAUCAACCGUGGCCUUAUCCAAUAUAUGCCUUAUCAAUUUAAAAGCAAUUUCCUGUUUUUCAAGGUUCUCCAAGGACUCUUGCUCAAAAGAUAUAAGAAUUCCCUUGCCUCCACCGCCAUCAUUUAGCCCUGUGCUUACGUUCAAGAUAUCCACAUUGCUCUUCCAGCCAGCGCUGCCCCCAUUGGUCACAAUUCCCUUUGAUGACGACGCAUCAUCAGCAACGCUGCCAGAUGAUCCGGAGGCAUUACUCACCUCAUUCCCUGGACUUGCCCUCUCAUUAGAGUGAUAUGGAAAAUGGUUCAAACUCAAGGGUGAACUCUGACUUGAAGCAGCCUCGGAAGAAAUAAGCUCCCUCGGUGAAUUGGGAACCAUGAUUUCAAGCCGUUCAAGAAGACACGAAACUAACCUGUUAGCAUCAGACGAAAGAAUGGGCGGGAAAUUCAAGGCCAAGGCGUUCAAGAAAACCCUGGAAAUCCCCAAAUCCCCAGAGACAUUGCCUGUGGCAGAGAUCACAAUUUCUCCAGUGAAGCCAGCAAUGUCAGUUGCAAAAUCAGAGGCUGACUCCGCAGCUCUACACAUAUAAGCAAAGUAGUCGUUAAAGAAGGAGGCAAUCGCGUCAUUGCCAAAUGAUUGGGGCCAGAAAGAAGGGGUGAAAGAGGAUGGAAUUGCGCGAUAGAAGGCAAGGAGGAGGGAUUUAGGCCGUUGAUCGUCGUAAUUUGGGCAUUUGGAGAGGAAACGAGCCACUGCCAGGACGGCAUUGAGCUGAGAUCUCGAAACCCUAGGAGAUCCGGUAAGGAGAGCCUCCGCCGAAGGACACCGGCCGCAUAUCCAGACCAACUUGUCAGCGAAUUGCUCGGGUUUUUCAGCAAUUAAGUCACACAGCUCGAUCAACGAUUCCAUUUCCGCAAAUUUAAGACCAGAAGGCACUAACAAAUCAACGUGUAAAUUAGCUCAUUCCCGCAUUGCAAAAUUGAAUUCUUCUGCGCCAUGAUCGCCAUCUGAAUUAUGUUCAAAGAUUUUGGUGAAAUCACUCUUAGUUGAAUAAAUAGCAAAACUACACACAAUUGAAGAGAAAAUUCGAGCUGUCCGCGAAAUUGCAUCAGAGAAACUAGAUCACAUAUGAGAGGAAAAAUGCGGACUGCAAGGGUCAAAGGUGAGAGAAUUGACAAAAGUAACACGAGUAAAUAAAUAUCCACGUAAAAAGCAUUUUAAAAAAAAAUAAUGCUGUCGGAUAAUUGCAGAAAAAAGAUGUGAAAUUAGGGUUUACAGCGGCUGUAGUUGAAGGGACGACCGGAGGUGGUACUGGGUCGUGAAGAUCUAUGCGGCGUCGUAACGUCGCUGUUGUUCCUGCAACCUUUGUUGUUUCUGCAACGUCUCGCGCCCUCUCUAUCUCUCUCGCUCUUUUCCUUUUUUUUUUUUAAUAUUUUCCCACCUUUCUAAAUUCUAAUGUUCGGUCUCGAAUGCCUUUUUUUCGCUCCACCUCCUCCUUUUUUUUUUUUUCCCCACUAGUACUUUUCGCCCUUUUUUUUUGGUAAUUUUCUGCCCUUUUUUUUAACAAACUCGAAGGCCGCCUUGGGUAAUAUAACUGAUGAUUAAGGGGCCCAACCCGGUUUCUAUGGUGCUCGAUGGAAUCAUAUGAAUCACCACGGGUACAGGAAAAAAGCCCACUUUCAUGAUUGAUUGAAAUUUGAACUAGUGUUUCAUAAUACAUACAAAAGAUACAGUUACAAACAUUGAUAAAACAUGGUAUAACGAAUUUUUAUUUAAUACUUUAAUGAGUUGUGGUGAAAAGAAAAUAAAAAUAAAAUUUUUACAACUUUCAUAUAUGUAAAGACACAAAAAAAUUCAUCGUUAUUGUGCCAUUUGGAAGACGAGUCUCUCGCUAUGAGAGCAAUUUUCUCUCUAUCCUAGAGAGAGAAAAUCCCCCUCUGUGGUGUCCACAUUUUCUUGAAAACUUCAAAAAUUGAAUUACCAAUUUAGAAGCCAAUCUUAAAACUUUUCAUUCAAGGAAAUUUACCGAUCUCAUCCAUUAUCUUUGGAAUAGCGUUGGAUUUUCUAGUGACAGUAGCCAUAACUAUUUCUAUUUUCCAGUUCCUAUUGAAUAAGAUGUGAUAGCUUUCAUAUCUAAUCACAAUUUUCUUCUUCGUUGUGUUUUGCUAGUCUUAGUUAUUUCUGCUUCUAAUCUUGUUUUUGGUUUGUUUGUUUUGAAUUAGGAGUAACUGGAAUUGAACUUGUUGGGAGGUAUUACAAGAACUCGGAUUAGGUCCGGAUCUGUGUGGGACUAGAAGCAUAUCGGAAACUAUAGCGUGAGAUUUGUGGGAAGGAUCAUGGAGAAUAUUGAAGAGGUAUUAAGAAGAUUCAAAUUCUCAGAGGAGGAAAGAGAUGGAGUUCAUUUGGACAACAAAGAAAUGGCUAAAGGUGUUCUGGAAUGCAAACUGAGCUUGAUUGGUAAAGUUUGGGGGGGAAAGCAGACAAAUAUUAGAGGAGUUAAGAGCUUCGCAAACAGUAUGUGGUCACAGGUGAAUAAUCUGAAAGUAAUGGAGAUUGGACAUAAUUUGUUCCACUUUAUUUUUGAGAAGGAGAAUGAUAUAGAGGUAGUGAUGAGCAAGAGGCCAUGAAUCUAUGAUGGUCAACCGUUAAUUCUACUGCAGUGGAAAACUGGUUUGGAGAAAAAUGAAGAAGCCCUGAGUAAAACAUUAAUUUGGGCCCAAAUCCAGAAUAUACCCUUACACUGGGUCACGAAGGAAGCAAAAAAGAAGAUUGGCAUCAUAUUUCCAAAAGUAAAUGAGGUGAUCAUUCCGCAGAGUAGAGGAAAAGAAAGUAAACAUCUAAAAAUUUUGGCUGAAAUUGAUCUUUCUAUUCCAUUACCUAAAGGGUUUAUGGCCAAUAGUAAUGGUUUAAGAGGUGGAUUGAAUUUAAAUAUGAAAAAUGUCUAAAUUUCUAUUUUGAUUGUGGAUUGAUUAGACAUAGUGAACGAAACUGUAGUAAAAAAGGAAUGAAUAUAGGAAGGGAACUUCGGUAUGAAAAUUGGUUGAGAGCCAGUUAUCCUCGAAAUCCUACUAAGAAAAAUGGAAAUGGAAAUGGGACUGGGGGUGUUAAAGAAGAGAGACACCAAACUCAGGACAAUAGGAAUGUAAAAAGAGAUGAACAUAAGUUGCUGCUAACCUAUACAAAGAAAUUCUAUAAGGUGAGGAACUAAAACAAACUUCUGAGAAAUAGUUGACUCUGAAUACUGGUUUGAUGAGUAGAAAGGUGAAGAGUACGCAUGAAGAGAGCGAGACUGAAAGGGUUGAGAAUGGGAAGGGAGAUGGGAAACAGGGGGAAAAAGGAUUAGGUAAGGCAGGAGGUAGGGACAUUGGAAAGAGAAAGGGGAGUAGAAGAAAAAAAAUGCAAAUGGAACAGCAGGAUGGAGGAAGUUUUGAGAAAACAGUGGAAGGAGCAGAUGAUCUGAUGUGGAUUGAUGGUGUCCAGAGUAAGAAUAAUAAGGAUAAGAUUGCUAAGGAAAUAAUAGAAGAGAGGAAAUGUGAGAUAACAUAUGAGGGAGAUGAAGGUAAAGUGGAGGUAGGAAAGCAAAAGGGUAGGGCUAAAGGGAAUCAAAUGGUAAGUAAGAGAUGGAAAAGACUAGUGUUGGACGGGAGCAGGAGAAAACCACUGGUUGAGGCUAACAAAGAAGUUACUAGAACUAAAAAAGAUAAAAUAAAGGUGGAAAUUAUGGAUUGAGAAAGAGAUGAGGUGCAAGUAGGGAAGGAAAACUGUAAGAAAAUCAGAGUUGAGAAUGGAAAUAGUGACUCGAUGGAACUGUCCGAGGGAUUAGAGCCCACUCUAAAUGAGGCUUCAAGGUUUAAAUGAAGGCUAUGGUAUGGAACUGUCAAGGUGUGGAGAACCCCUUGACAGUUCCUCAACUGAUGGAGGUCAUUAGACUCCAUUAUCCUUCAUUAGUGUUCUUGUCAGAAACAAAGAAGAAAAAAAUUAAAGCUAUUUGAAUAAAGUGAAACAGUGGAUUAAAUUUGACAAUGUGUUUGUUGUUGAUCUAAUUGGUAUGGCUGGGAGUUUGGUUGUAUUAUGAAAAAAUGUGGUGCAAGUGAAAAAGUUUUUGUUUACAAGUUUUACUAUUGAAUUGCUAAUAGAGGACAACGAAGUUAAGAUUGACCGGUAGUGUAUAUGUGCUUAUGCUAGUUCAGAUGUAGGUGUUAGAAGAGAGCAGUGAAAAUUAUAACUAGAAGAAGCAUAAUAUGGGGUAAGUACUGUGCUAUAAUGGGUGAUCUCAAUAACAUUACCUCUAAUGGUGAAAAUGGAGAGGUAAAUAGAGAGUUGAGGUAAGGUUCCAAGAUUUUAACUCCUUCAUAAAUAAUAAUGAACUGGUUGACAUUGGAUUUGAAGAAAUUCCUUGGACCUGGAGCAAUAACUAGGGAAAUGAGGAAGAGGUAAAAGAGAGGUUGGAUAGGAUAUUAUGAACUAAAGGCUGGAUAGAAAAGAUUGAUAAGGCAAAAUGUAUACAUGUAGAAACUGAGGGAUCUGAUCACUAUAUACUAGUUCUGGAUACUAAGCCAAUGGGAAAGAAAUGGAAAAAAAGAUUUAUGUUUGAUAGAGAAUGGUUACAGCAAGAAAAUAUAGGGGAGGUAAUAGGGAAAGCUUGGAGAGAACACCAACCAGGGUCCAGGUUAUAUAAAGUUCAAUGUAAAAUAAAAAAAGUCAGUGUAUUUACUUAAUUGGAGUAAAGGAUGCUUUUGCAACUCUAAGAAACAGAUAGAAUUGGUUAAAAAGAAAAUUAAAGAAGUCAAUAAGAGUAAAACUAAUGGUUAUAGGAUUAAUUUGGCUGGUCUUAAGAGGAAACUGGCUGAAGCUUAUAAAAGGAAAGAACUAUAUUGGAGUUAGAAGGUUAGGGUAAAGUGGUUAAAGGAGGGGGAUAAUGAUACUAGCUAUUUUCAUGCUAAAAUGACUGGUAAGAGGAAAAUGAAUAGGAUUAAUGUGUUGCAAAAAAGGAGUGGGAAUUGGUGUGAGAAUGAAGAGGAAACUUGCCAGGAAAUCAUAGACUAUUUUAAGCAGAUUUUUACUUCAGAAAAAUUAGAUGACUUUGCAAAAAUUUUACAACGAGUCCCACGUACUAUCCUUGCUAAGAUUAAUAGGAAGUUGACUAGAAAGUCACAUAUCAAAAAAUUAGUCAUGUAGUCUUUUUGAUGCAUCCAAACAAGUCUCCAGGGCCAAAUGGUAUGUCCCCUUUUUUCUUUCAAAAAUUUUGGCAAAUUGUUAAAACUAAUGUUGUUAAUACAGUGCAAAAUUUCUUUCAUUCUAGUCGUCUUCUUAAAUCUAUCAAUGAGACCUUGAUAAGCCUUGCUCCUAAAAUUGACUCCCCUAGAACAUUCAAAGAAUUUAGACCUAUUAGCUUGUACAAUGUUAUCUAUAAAAUCAUUUCUAAAGUACUUACAAACAGAUUCAAGAGUGUUUUGAACUACUGCAUUAGUUAUUCCCAAUCUGUCUUUGUUCUUGGAAGACAGAUUUUAAAUAAUAUUCUGAUUGCUCAUGAAAGGGUUCACUUUCUAAAAAAUAAUAGGACUGGGAGAGAUGGUUAUAUGGCUAUCAAACUAGAUAUGUUUAAGGUUUAUGACAGAGUAGAAUGGGUGUUUUUGGCCAAAAUAAUAUUGAAAAUGGAUUUCUGUCCCAGGUGGAUAUAAUGGAUUAUGGAGUGUAUUACUAGUAUAACCUAUUCUGUAAACAUUAAUGGUGAGAAAACUGGUUUCAUUAGGCCAAGUAGGGUUUGAGACAAAGGGACCUUUUAUCCUCUUAUUUGUUUCUAAUUUGUCCUGAGGGAUUUUCCUCCUUGUUAAAGCAAGCAAAUGUAUAGGGAAGAUUGACAGGAAUGAAGAUUGCUCAAGGGUCUCCUAGCCUAUUUCACUUAUUUUUUGCAGAUGACUCGUUGAUUUUUUGUAAAGCAAGUGCUGAAGAGGCAGGGCAACUAAGGAGAAUACUAAAUGUGUACGAAUGAGCUUCUGGUUAGCUGAUCAAUGUAAAGAAAUCAUCACUGUUCUUCAGCGGGAAUGUGCAAGAUAGGAAAAGAGAAGGAGUGAUGAAAGAGUUGCAAGGAGUGAAACAGGUUCUGCAAAGUAACUAUCUGGGGUUGCCUUUGGUCAUUGGAAGAUCCAAGAGAUAAGUUUUUGACUUUAUAAGGCAAAAAGUAAUUGCAAGGCUAAAGGGAUGGAAGGAGAAAUUAUUGAGUUGCUCAAAUCUGUCAUAAUGGCACUGCCUACUUAUGUCAUAUCCUGUUGUUUUUUACCAAAGAUUUUGUGCAAGGAAGUAUGUUCAGAAUUGACAAAGUUUUGAUGGGGGUAGAAGGAAAAUAAACAUAAAGUUCACUGGUUGAGUUGGGGAAGAAUGACAAAAGUCAAAGCAAAAAGAGAGUUAGGUUUUAGAGAGUUACAUGAAUUUAACUUGACAUUGUUGGCAAAGUAGCUUUGGAGAAUUUUGGCUAGGCCUAAUUUACUGGUGAGCAAAAUAAUGAAAGCUAGAUACUUUAAGGGAACAUCUAUUUGGAAGACAAAGAGUUCUGGUGCUGACUCAUGGUGUUGGAAAAGUUUUUUGAAUGCAAAGGAACAACUGGAGGAAGGAAUAAGGAAGCGAGUGGGAGAUGAAAAAUCUAUAAACAUAUGGGAGGAUAGAUGACUCCCAGAAACUGAGGAUGGAAUAGUUAAGGCUAAGGAUGUGGAGGGUAUAAAGGUUCAGAGAGUGAGUGAGCUUAUUAAGGAUGGGAAGUGGGAUAAGGAGCUGAUUGCUCAGGUCUUUGAAGAGGAGAAAGGGAGAAAAAUAAUGAGAAUUCCACUCAGUGUGCAACCUAUGAAAAACAGAAUAUACUGGGUAAUGUCAAGUACUGGGGUAUAUACAGUAAAAUCAAGAUACAUAUUGGCAAAAAACAUGAAAAGAAGGGAGGGUCAGUGGAGGUCAGGUGCAGAAUUCAGCUACAGAAGUAGAAGUGCAACACAAAGCUAGAAUUUUUUAUGGGGAUUGAACAUGAAGCAUAAAAUUAAGCAUUUCAUCUGGAGAUGCCUGCAAGAAAUUUUACCAGUGAAUACAGUAAUAAAUGGAAGAUGCUCAGAAGGAAAUCAUAUAUGCAAGUGUUGUGGGGAAAGCCCAGAAACCAUUGAACAUAUGUUGUUUUUUUGUAGCAAUGCCAAGUCUAUCUGGAAAGCUGCUUCACUGAGCUGGAAGGGUCUGGAGAUUUACAAAAAUAAUUUUGGCAUUGAUGGGAAGAACUAAAAGAGGCUAUGAACAAGGAGAAUGGAAGAAAGUGUAUUGUUCUGAAUGCAAAUUUGCUUUGACAAAUCUGAAAAUCAAGAAACGAGAGGCAAUUUAAUGACAAAGGAAGGGACCCAAUGGUAGCAACUAAUAAAGCGAUAAUGGAAUGGAAGGAGUACCAAGAAACUCAGGAUGCAGAGAUAGAAAUUGGGGAAUGUAUUGAGAGCAAAGAAGAAGUGUGGAGUGGUUGGAAGAAACCAAAGGAGAAUUGGGUUAAGAUGAAUUCUGAUGCAGCUCUACCCCAAAAAAUUGAUAAAGUAGGCUGGAGAAUAGUUGCGGGGAACUGGCAAAAAAAGGUACUGGGAGCUUGGGUAGUGCCAAACUCAAGCUGCUAAAAUCCAAAGCUAGAGGAAGCAUUGGCGUUAAGAACUGCUAGGCUAGUGGCGAAGCAGCAAGGAUGGAGAAUAGUGAAAUUUCAAACAGAUUGUAUGCAGGUUGUGAAUGGGAUAAGUAGAGAGGAAGAUGAUGUAAUCAUUUCAACAGUAGCAUCUGAUAUCAGGAAACUUAAGUCCAACUUUGAUGAAUGUUGUUUUACCUUUACUAGAAGGGUAAACAGCUUUGUCAGUCAUAAAUUAGCUAAGAUGGCUAUUAACUUGAAGGAAUCUGCUAAAAGGACAGAUGACUUCCCAGUCUGGCUGCUUGAGUUAGCACAAGCAGAUUGUAAGGGCAGUUGUUCAUCUCUUAUAUAAUCUAGGUUAGACUAUUAAUAAAGUAUUGCCGUUUCGAUAUAUAUAUAUAUAUAUAUAUAUAUAUAUAUAUAUAUAUAUAUAUAUAUAUAUAUAUAUUGUACCAUUUGGAAAUCUCAUGCAAUUUCUUUUUCUUGGAUCGUACCUCUGGUGAGAAAUAAGAAACAAUCAUCCGCUGAUUCUUAAUCUGUAAAAUAUUGCUGAUAAUACAAAAAUGUUUUUAUUUAUUUGCAAAUUGGCCUUCAGCAAAAAGAGAAAAGAAAAUUCAAAUACAGAAUAAACUUUUUUUAUGUGCAGCGAGAUGAGACCAAUUAAUUCAGUUCCCAAACUAGUCUUAAUUAGAAAAGUAAGUAGAUGCUCCAAAUCUAAUUUCUUCUGGAAUAUAAAAAAUGCACUGUAACGAUUUGAUAUACAUAAAUGAGAUGACAAGGUAAUUAGAAAAUUUGUUAACUGAAAACGUCGAAUUUAUUUGAUGAAAAAAAGCUUUUUAAACAAGACCUUAGUGUAUAUAUACAAUUACAAAUGCUAUCCUGUCAGAUAUGCAUACAAACAAAACCCAAAUACGUACUGAUCAAAAGUUAAAUCCCAAAAAUAAGUACCAAAAGUUUAACCAUGUAUCAUUGGUAUUUAAGACAAAACAAACGAAUUUCCUAUCAUGUGUGCAAACCACAAUAAAAAAACUGUCUGCGUAUAUCCGAUAACCCUCGAAUUAACUUUUCCGCAAGAGAGAUAAGAAUUAAACAAAAGAGACCCAAAACUGUCAUAGAGAAACAAGCCCCGCACUGAAAUCUGUCGUGCUUACCAAAGCAAGGUAAGACAAAACUCUGAAAUGAAGUUACAAAAUAAGGCUAAUUAUACUACACGCACCAGGAAGGGGAAAAGAAAAGAGGAUAAUACCAUAGAACGAGGGAACGGCUGCAUAAAAUGAUAAAAAUGGUAAAGAUGAGAAACAUUCUUAACAACUGUCUAGUACAAGUCCGAUGAAUAGAAAUAGGAAAGAUUGAUCUAAUCAUCCAAAUGAAACACUUUAGAAUUCUAAAUCAAAUUCCACAAUGUCCAAAUCGAAUAUUUUUGCACUGUAAAUCAAACUACACAAUGCCCAUCAGAUAUUAACACUUAAACAGAAUCAGAAUUUGAGCACCAUAAUUAACAAAUCACAUCUAAAUCCGAAACUUCACUAAUUCAAAGUUCAUCAUCCCUGAUACCACCUAUCAGGAAUGCCUACAAGGAAUAACAGUUCCAACAAGUUGUAACCCUCAAAAAUCAAUCACCUUCAUCCUGUGGUUAUACAUAUACACUAGAGAUCAUCAUACUAGCUACAGCUAGAAGAACGAAUCCAAUCCAAGAAAUCAGAAGUAGACUACCAUGAUUCUUCUUUUUCUUCUCUUUUUUUUUUUUCCCUUUUUCUUCAGCGAUCAAAAGGCCCAUUGGGAUCAAGCUGUUUGCACAAACCAAGGUACGUAAGAUAAAGGACACGAUCUUUGGCCCCCGUACGAUGAUUCUUGCACUACUACAAAAAUGUCAUUUUAUGACAUUUAAAAGCGUCAUUAUAGCUCGAUGUAAUGACGUUUGAACUAUAAUGACGCUCUGCUAGAAACGUCGUCCAUUCCAGCGUCACUAUAAGUUCAUGACAGUUAUAUGAGUCCUAAUUUGUAGUUCUAUUGGCAUUUAUAAACGUUAUUAUUUAUCGUUUUAAUGACACUUUUAAAUGACAAGAAAUGCUGGAGAACGGUUAAGGUUAUAUGAAUCUAAAGUGAUACUCGAUGCCUGUCAUUUAUUGGAUCUAUCAUGACGCUUCUAUUAUGUAAGUACAAUAAGAUAGUAUGACACAUUCGCCGUAUAAGUAAAAUGAAAUAUUAUGACACUUUCAUGGUGUAACUAGAUUAGAUUGUUCUGACACUUGUUAAUAUGAAAUUUUGUGAAUAUUAUGAACCGCAAAACUCGAAGUGGUGACACUUUUAAGUGUCAAUACAUCAUAUUGCAUUAGCCCUGUAUCCCAUCCGAGGUUUUAUACCCAAAAGUAGAAUCACAUUUCAUCCUGCCUACACAAUAUAGAUUCUAAUUUUUGCAAUAAUAAAGUUAUUACUACCACCUUAUAAAGGAAAACCAAGGCGAUUUACAUUUUCAUAGUAAUCACUGCAAUACAAGUAGCCAAAAUGGUGCAAAAGUACUGCAUUGAUCCAAGCAACUGACAUUGCUGCUAUGUCAACAAAUUACAUGCCAAUUCAGAGAUUUUUCAAAAGUUAUGAGUAUUACAGUAGCAUUGCCAAUACAUAUCAAAGAAGCAAUAGUUCAACAAGAACUCAACAAAAAAAGCAUUGACAAUGUCUUCAAAAAAUAGCCAUUUGACCCAAGGACGAUCCUUUAGUUUUCUUCAAGAAUCACCUACAAGUGUCAUAAACCAAGAAAUAGAAGUUACAAUCACAUCUACAGCUCUUCUUUUACAGUUUUAAUGUUAGAAAAUAAAUAAAAGCUAAGUUAACCAAAUGAUAAAGAUAAGAUAAAAAGAUUACCAGGUUUAUUGGCCAAGCAACAGCUACUCCAAUUGCAUCUCCAAUCUUGAGAAAAUUAUGGUAUGGCCUCAUUAGCUCUUCAUCAUUCUCCACAGGCACAUUCACAUGAAUUUCACACCAAUGUGAUCCCAAAGGUAUGUCACCAACUUCAGCAGUUGGAUCCAAAUUUCUAACCACACCAACAGCACAAAUUUCUUGUGGGGAAAGUGCCACAAAACCUUGUGGGGAACCUUUCUUUUUUCACCAGUAGGAUCAUCCUUUGUUCCUUCCCACCGUAGAUGCUUACAAGUGUCACAUUUUAUCUUUGAUUCAUCUUUUCCCCAAUACAAUGUGCAAUCAUUAGGACAUGCAUCAUAUUUUUCGUAUCCAAGUCCUAGUUCUUUCAUUGUUUUUUUUGCUUCAUAAUAAGAAUUGGGUAGAUUUACACCUUCUGGGAGUGCUUGCCUCAACAAAUCAAGAAGUGUAUUAAAUACAGAAUCGGGCAUUUUGCUGAGACAUUUAAUAUGUAACAAGCGGACCAGAAAAGAUAGUUUAGAGAAUUGCGGGCAAUCUGGAUAAAGGGGCUGCUUCGAAUCAUUUAUUAAAUUGUAGAAUUUUUCUGCCUCAAUAUUCGGCUGUUCUGGUUCUAAUCUUUCUCCCACAUCUAGGUUCUGGUUUAGAACUCCUACUGCAUCUUGUAACAACCCCUGCAUAUCAUCUAUGGGAUUGAGUGGUGGAACUUCAUUUGAUGAGCCAUGUGAAGAUGUAUGAUGCAAAUUCGAAGAUAGCUCUCCAUGAGCUAACCAUUGAGUAUAUCCCUUAAUAAAUCCUUUCCAUAUCAAGUGUGAUUUGGCCUGCUCUCUCGUGACAAAUACCCCAUUCCCACACCUAAUGCAUGGGCAUAAAAUCAUCUCCCCUAUACUUCCAUUUGUAAAUGCAAAAUCAAGAAAAUCUUCUAAACCAGCUUUAUACUCAUCACUUGAUCGUGACAUACUCAUCCAUCUUUUAUCCAUGUUCACAUAGAUUCUAAUUAUAAAAAAAAAAAAAAGCUUCAUUAGCAUCUACAAGAUAGUUCUACCUAAACUAUUACUGAUUUUUGCAUAAAAUAUUUACUUAGAUAAGAAAACUAAUUUCAAUGAGAUUAAUAGAAGACACAAAUCACUCACGAAAUAUCUUCUAAAGUAAAGAUACCAAAAGUAUCAAAACAGAAUGUUAGCACCAAUCCAAGUGUUCUAGACAUAUCAGAACAGAAUCUUCACAUAUCCAGGUGUUCUAGACAUUUGAGUAAUAAGAACUAAUCCAAAAGUAUCAAAACAGAAUAAUAUCAAAAGGAAAGACGGCAAAAGUUCAAUUCCAGAUUGUAACACACAAACUAUAAAACAUAUGGUAGGUACAAAAGAACUUUUCUUAACUCCCUCCAAACUAGAAACUUUUUAAGAAGUACCUGGAUCAAUUUCUCAACUCCCUCCAAUCUAUCAACAGUGUAUUGCCCAGAGAACUGCAAACCAAAAAAUUAUUUGGGCAGUAAAUACAUAUAUCAAAGAACCAAAUAACAAUACUCUGACAUAAACUAGCUUACCUGAUUUGAUAUGGAAGGCUGGUAACCCUUCACAGGAGUGUUGAAACCUAAGUUUGGCACAUUAACUGAAGUACUGGUAUUUUCUUGCAACUUCUAUAGGAAGAAAAUGAAAAAGAUCAAUUGAAAGAACCAUCAGAAACCAAAAAAAUGUUUCAUAAUCAUGCCUAAUGGCAUGUGAGAUAUGCAAACAUUUGAAGCCUAUCUCAUAAAAACUUGGAUUAAUACCAUUAAUACCCGUAACCUGGUAUUGUAGCAGUGCACGUAUAAACAAUCAGCAAAGUGGUUUGCAAUCUCAUUAUACUUAGUGACAGGCCUGAACUUACAAAAAAGGAAAGCUAAUCUUCCAAUUCAAAAACUGAAAAAAAUGAAACUUGGAAGAAAUAGAGUGAACAACUACAAUUCAUUUGCGCACUUGCCAUGCUAUAACAUGCUCCUACUGAAUCUUCACCCAGGCAUAUUAAUCAAUACAGGGUAAACGGACAUUUGUAUACGUGCAGUAAAAGUGUCUUAUAUAUACCUACCAUAUGGCCUAAAAAUUUUACCCUUUCACCACCUCACACUCCAUGCUAAAGUGAAACUGUUAAUAAUUAGAAAUAAAAUUUAAAAAGUGACUCCUUAGAAUCCUCACUGCUAUUAGUACAAUCUUAUAAUUGAGUUUAACGAGUUAUUAGUUCUCAAAAGGUAGCCUAUGAGAUUGGAAAUGAGUAAAUUCAAAAUGAUACAUUUCAUGAUUUUUUUUUUCAAAACAGUGAUACCAUUCCAACUGGAUGAUUCUGGUACUAGGUAAGUGGGGUUUCCCCACAACAAAUAUUAUGUGGGCAAAACAAGACACACUGAAAAACUCUGUUAAUUCUGCCAUAUUGCGUCCGCCACAUACUAGAGCCCAAUUUAGAGACCCUGUUGACUGCCUGGUUAGGCAUGAGUGAGCAAGAGAGGGAGGUGAAGGAUCCUAUAAUUGAGGCCAUGGCUGGAUCAAGAGAGAAAAAUGGAUCUGAAGAGAGGAAAAGAAGGAAGGAAAAUUGGGAAAGGAACGAAGUAGCGGAGAGCACGAAGAGUGUGUAUUGUUUACUUUGAGCCCCUUCAGCAUAGAUCAAUCUCUCAAUUAAUUGCUUUUUUUUUUCUAAUUUCAGUGAGUUGAAGGAUCAAAAAAUUUCGAAACAAAAUUUUUUCCUUUCUUAAGCAGAAAAGGACUACAUGCAUUCUUAGUUAAAAUAAACAUAUCCUUCAACAGUAUCCUGACAUGAGGAAUGCCUUUUGUUGCCUUUUCAUUCGGAAGCAAAAGCAAAUAUUUGUGGGAGGAAAAAUUCCAAGUCAUACAACCUGUGUCAAAGAAGAAGACAGCAAACAGGUGAUCUGUGUAAGAGCAACGCACUGGCAGAAGGGAUUUAGAUGUUUACAGUACAUUGGAAUCAAUGUUUCCUUCCAAAUGAGGAGAAGUGUGUGGGUUUUGAAGCAUGAUGUGAAAGAUGGGUGAUGAAAUUCUCGGGGAAGUUUCCAACGGCAGAACCAGCAGAACAGAACUGUAAAAUCCAUAGUAAUGAAGGACAGGGAUUCACUUGACAGGUGUUAUUGCUGCCAAAAGUCAUUUUGUGGUCGGAGAUGUACACAUUAGCAAAUGGUAGGAAGAGGAGAUUUUGCAAAAUGAAAGCAAGUGGUUGGUGGUUACAUUCAUCACAAUAAUCUUAUUAACUAUAAAGGUUGCACCACAAGGACAGCUAUAAAGGUUGUCACAUGGAAUUUGAAUCUUCCUUUUUAUUCUGUUCUUUUUUUUUUGGGUCAGUUUGAUUAAUUCAUCCAUAACAUCCCCUUUUAUUCAUCCCCAAUUAACCCAAUUUCACAUACGCUGCUGUUGCAGAAUUAGUAUUACUCACAAUUCAAGGUAAAAGCACUCAUUUACAAAAUUUAGAUUCCGUCUUACCUGAAUUUUCCUUAUGCAAGAAAGGAACAGCAAUAUCAGAAGUAAAAGCAUCCUAGAUACAAAAUUUAGUUGUCAAAUGGAGCAGCUAGACAUCGGAUGCUGUCCUUCAAAAUGAGGAAUCAUUUGGAUCUUUAAGACAAAUUCAAAAAAGCUACCAUCUUAAGUUUUACUGUAUGACACUAUGUCUAAGUACUCUUGGAGAGCUGUUAUGCUUCUUUGCAACAGAAAAAACAUAAACAAAAGAUAAGAAACCAGAAAACCUGAAAAUCACCAUAACUGAAGAAACCGUCGCUUACCAACUCCACAAUGCAGAACGAUAUCAGAAAAUUUCCGAAUAAACAUACGAAAUAGUGUAUCAGACGAAUUGAAAGGCCAGUUUUGUUUCCCUACAAUUUUCCCAUCCACAUCUACUCUUCCUGCCAUUUCGUCUUCCCCAAAUCCUUAACCCUCUGUCACCCACCUUGCUCCUACCCCAUUUCCCAUGCGUUCCCGGAGAAGAAAUAAAGUAAUAAAAAAAAAGCUAUCAAUUUUGUUGCAAAUGUAUAGGUUACCUGGUAGUAAUCUUCCUUCAGAUGGCAAUUUUCAACGAACACCGUAGCUCCACUGUUGCUAAAAACCCAGAUACCAAUUCCCGUUCAAACUCCAUGCUAAAAACUCCAUGAUGUUGUUGAUUAAGCUACCUUCUUAAAGGUUUACCUGUUUGUCUUCAAAUUGGAGAGAGUUAAAAAUCGGGUGGAAGAAAGAGAAAGAAACAAGGGAUUCGGUGGUGAGAGGGGCGAAGGAUUUAGGUUUUUUACAGAGAGUUUAUUUGAUUGAGGGUUUUAGGAGAGAGCACUCGGAUGAAAAAAGAGUAAAGUACAUUGGAUUCAUUGGAGUAGUUAGAAUAUUUCCCCCAAAAAAAUGGCGCCGAAGUGUAGCGCCAUUCUCUUUGCCGUUUUUGUUUUUCAUUUUUUACUUCUAUUUGGAUAAGUUAGAGUGAUACGAUGUCGUACUGGUCAUUUUCUUUGUCACUUUAAUGACGUUCCUUACUGCAUGUUACAUUAACUUGCUGUUGUGACACUUUUAGGAAAAUGUCAUAUUAAGUGUGUGACUAAAGGUGCUUUUUGUAGUAGUGUUGGUAUGCUUGCAGAAAUAUUUAAGCUGCUCCAACGUACAACAACCAAGCAUCUGACCCAAGAGCAAGAACAACCAAUUAAUGGCUUUCUUCUUUUAGGGAAUGAUGGGCUUAACGCAAUUGUCUUGUUCACAUAACUUGCAAGCUGGUAGAACCGGGUUCAUCCAAACCCCAGGGGCUCUGUCAUGCAUGCCGCUUUUGUUCUCAGCAAUGAAACUCCCAACUUCAAUGAACUUUUCCGUCAAAUCGUACUCCAUCUCGUACCGCUUUUCGCAUCUUUUGCAUUGGACUUCCCCGCUGAUCUUGAAGAUUUGUUUUGAUAACAAAUAGUUGAGGCUGUAGACUGAGGCGCGACGGGUGGUGGCCCAUGGGAACGGUGCAGGAACCGUUUCGCUCUUCCCUUCGUGUGGUGCUUGGGAAGGGUUUCGGCGGGGGCGAGCCGGGCGGGACUGACCAGCCGAGGCCGAGGAAGGUUCUUGACGAUGAACUACUGCUCGCAGCGUGGGGAGUGAUGAUGUGUCAGGGAGAAGAUGAGGCGACUGCGUCUGCUGAGGCAUUGGCACGGGCGGCAUGUAGAGAGGGUAGGAUGGCGGCGGCGGCGGCUGGGGUAUGAAUGGCUGAUGUUGUUGCAUGGAGGGGGUGGCGGAAGUGGUGGUUGUUGGUGUAUUGGGGAAUGUUUUCGGGGCCUGAUGGCUGCUGGGCGAAACGAAAGGGAAAGGGUUAAAAGAUCAUUGUCGUCAUCUUCAACGAGGUGAUCAGAAGAAGAGAAUUUUCUUGGGAUCUGAAAUUCAUGGUGGUUGUUGUUGUCGUUGGUUUUUCUCUUUCUGUUGAUUUCUUGAUUAUCAUUGGAUAUGUCUUUUUGGUUGUUGAGAAGAAAAAUCAUAUAUGGUCAAAGCAUAAAAGGAAGAGCAACAGCUGCGGGAGGUUUAUGCAGGGUAUAAAGAAAUGCCAGAGUGAAUCUGACGAAGGGUUCAAGACAAAAGACAACAGGGAGGGUUUUCAGAGAUGGAUGGAAAUUUGUAGUUGGUUGGGAGUGUAAGAGAGAGAAGUUGUAAUUUGUACUGUAAGUAAAGAGAUAGAGAGAGAGUUGAGAGAUAAAGAUAAAGACGAGCAAACAGACUAUUAAACCUGCUUUCGAGAAUUGGGAAUUUUGUGUGUAAUUUUAUUUUGGUUAGACUUCUUUUUCGAAUUCAAAAUCGCAACGGAUCUUUUGUCCCACACCCUGUGCCACUCUCUGUCCCACUUUUUAUUAUAUUGCUAUUUCUCCUUCAUAAACAUCAUGUUUUAAUUCCUUUUUGUUUCCUUAAGAUCCAAUAACUAUUAAUUGAGUAAUACACAAAAUUUAACAAACUCAAAAAAUCAAAAUGCAUAAAAAAUUAGAUUUUUUAUGAAUUUUCUGCUAUAUUUUUUAAUUUUUUAUUAUAUAUUACUUUUUUGAAGCUGUUGUAUUUAUUUUUUACUUAAUUAAUAGUUAUUGGAUCUUAAGGAAGCAAAAAGGAAUUAAAACAUGAUGUUUAUGAAGGAGAAAUAGCAAUAUAAUAAAAAGUGGGACAGAAAGUGGCACAGAGUGUGGGACAGAAGAUCCGUUGCGAUUCAAAAUGUCCAUCCGAAUUCUUCAUUUUUUGGGAUAAUUUCAGAAACAUUCCUGAGGUUUUUAAUAUUAUCACUUGGCGCCCUCGAAUUUUAAUUGAACAUUUUGUAAAAAUUGCAACUCGUUUAAAAAUAAUAAAUAAAAACUUAUGUUGGGAGAUAUUAUAUAAUCUCAUUCCAAAUUUGCUCUUUUUCUUGUGGUCCCUUAAUUGUCAUAGUACAACAAUUUUAUCUCUUAAUAUUUAUAAACUUGGUCGACGUAACUCUUUGAUGAAAAUUCGAAAAGUUGAUAACGGGUCGAGAGACCCAUUUUUUCUAUCAUCGGUUUGGAUAAGAAAUAUUAAAGUAUUUUAAAUUUUAAAUAAUUUACAAUACUUGUAAAAAAAUAACUUUAAAUAUUUUUAUUACAUUGAUAAUAACUUUUUACACUAGUUUGAAAAUGUUAAAACAUCACAAACAUGGUUAUAUAUAAGUUUCACAUCUUGGAUUUUUCUAAUUUUCAAAUCAUCGAUUUGGGCAAAAAAUUUUGAAAAUUUAAAAAAAAUAAACAAAUUACAAAUCUCCUUAAAUUAGCUCAAAAUAUUUUACAAUAAAGAAAAUAAUAUUUUUUGUGAAUUGCAAAAAACCUCAAAUAAACUUUCAAAGCUGUGUUUUCAGACUCGGACCGGACUGCCGGUUCGACCGAUCGAAUUGGGAAUCGGCCAAGUGUUCGGUCCAAGUCAUGCUUCAAAACCGGGUAAGUAAAAACCCCGAUCAAAUCCGGUCAAAAACCGGAUUUGACCGUGUUUGACCGGAAAAAUCGGAUUUUCCGGUUCAAACAGUUUUUUCAAAAAAAAAAAACUCAAACUUUUUUAAUAUUAUGUUUUGACCCCUAAAUUGUUAAAAAUUAUUAAUAUACCUCAAAUAUUUCAUACUUUAUCAAUAUUUUCUUAAAGUUUGGUAUUAUUUUUCAAUUAAAUCCAUAAUUUUAAUUCUAAACUUGUUAAUGCUCAUUAAAUAAUAUAAAUUGUUACUUGAUUGUUCUAAUUUCUUUGUAUUUUCUUGUUAAAUAUAUUUAAAAUAUCAAAUAUAUAUAUGAAUAUACCUUUAUUAAUAUAAACAUGUUAUUAGAUAUUUUACAUAUAAUAUUUUAAUUUUUAAAUAAAUUUUAUUUAUGACAUCAUCCGGUUCAACCCCUAUCGAACUCGAUUGAAUCCAUUGACCUCUGACCCCUGAGAUUGACCGAGUCGAUAUCCGGUCCGGUUUUGAAAACAUAGUUUCAAACAUGAAGUCUUUGUUUUUUCAAAACAUACUAUAUUUUGCCCCAUCAUAUUUAAAUCUUCAUGCCUUGUACUAAAAAAUAAGACAACAAAAGAACAAGAUUGAGUUGAGAUUAUACUCUCUCUCUCUCGAGAUAUGCUUUUUUAAUGUUAUAUUUUGAAGCAUGUUGCAAAUGUUAUAAAAAGUUUAAAGUGAACGAAACACACGUACGUGAUAGCUUUCAAGUGGCAAGUGAUAUUGUCGAAAAUUUGCAGGAAUUUUGUGUUCACACUUCACGUUGUCAUGCACUACAAAUCUCGCAGAAAAUGGCUGGGACGAUGUUUGAACAAACUAGUGUUCAAUAACAAUUACCCGCUGUUGGACGCGGGCAUGGUCCUGCGCCACUCAUUAUUGAUGAGUUGAAUUGAGGAUUAUGCAAGGAAAAGAUUAAAAAAAAGAAAAGAAAUGGAAACGAUCAACAUCAACUUCUUGUGAUUAUCUGGACUUAAUUACAUACGAUCGAACAAUUUCAUUUGACAGGGUAAUAAUAAAGGAAAUGUAUGAGUCCGGGUCCUAAAACAACCAUAGUCAUGUUUCACAAUUAAUUUCAUCCAUUUAAAUUCAAGCUACCUUUGGUAAUUGGACGACCAAAUCAAGAAGAUGCUCCCAUACAGAACUUAUUAAUAAAAAGGCCUGUCUAACAAGUGUCCAUAAGAUAGGGUUUAAGUGUUAAUAUUUUUUAAAAAAAAUAAUGUCAUAAGUGUAUAUUAAUUGGUGGAUUAGAUGGUAAAUUAAGUACGACAUAAGCGUAUUAGCGAGUGUCUAAUGAAUUACGAAGUACUCUUAAGAAUUUAACCAUAUUAGUUGGUGGAUUAUUGUAACCAAAACAUCAUGAGUUCAUAAUUGCCACGGGAGUAUUCCCGCAUCAGCUUUCAUUCAGCCUUUAAAAAUAAAAAAAAUAGGACAAACGUCAAAAGAAUAUUCAAUUCAUUCUUCGUUCUUUUUGAUCUCCUAUCAACGAUUAAAAUUUUUUUAAAAAUAGACAAAUGAAUAUGGCUACUAAAAUACCGGAAAAAUCCAUGAUCAUAAAAACUCUUGGAAUCCCUACAUGAUAGAGUACACCUAAAAUUCCACAAAGGUCGAUUUCAAUAGGAAAUGCAGGGGACAGCCGCAUUUUCUUGGUUAAUGUGAGAAUUUAUAUAGAUGUUCAUAUCAUUUGAUAAUGUACCAAAAUUUUGACAACAUAAUAUGCUUGUGCUUCAUCCGACUUUACUACCGGCCGUCAAGUUCAUUGAAUUUGCUGCAUUGAGAAGAGGGGCAAAUUGAUAACAAUUAUUUGGGCUGUCAACUUAGAAAAUACAUACGGGCCUCCACAUCAUUCCUCCCUUGAGCUCUCGGCAUUUUAAAUCCACUAAACAAAUGAUGGGUCUCAAAGGAUUGGGUCCAAGCCUAGCGGCAUAGGUUUCGGACCCAUACUAGCCCGGUAACGUGAAUGUGCGAUGCGGGUAUUAUUAUUUUUUACCUUCUUUAAAAAAAUUUUUUUUUUUUUGGUUAGCAAAUUUUUAUUUUUAGGAGCGAUGGAAGUCUCCCUUCGCAAAGGGCAGACUGAGCGGGCGGGGGGGGUCCCGGCUCGUUUCUUGGUUGGUUCGUUUUCUCGAAUCUAGGCGUCUGAGUUCUUCGGUUGUUGGAUUUCGUGACCUUACGUCACUCUCUCUAUCCACUCUACAUUAUUGUUUCAAAAUUACAAAAAAAAAAUUAUACAUUAUUGUUAGUUUAAGGAACGAUUGAAGCACAAAGAAACGUAAAUAACCGAAGUGGAUGCCGCGGACGGAGUUUGUUUGGAUAAGAGUUUAUUUGAAUGAUUUAUUUGAGAUAAUUACUGUAAUAUUUUUUGUGAUGUGAUGUAUGCGAGAUAAAAAGAUGAUUAGAAAGAUGAAAGGGUGGUUGAAAUUUAUGAAAUAAAUUAUUUUAUUUCAAAUGGGUAUUAAUUUUGGGGUUUUGGUGUUGGCCGGUUGGGUGGUUUUGUCGGUGGCGGUGUUCAGGUGGGUUCACCAGAGUCGUCGGAGAGUGGACCAAAAGUAUUUUACUUACUAGUGCUAGUAAAAAGAGCUAAUGACGGUGUAUCGAGAUUUUUCACCGGUAAAUGCACCGCAGCUGCUCGAAAAAGGCAACGGUGCCGACUUUGUGUUUCUCGUUUCAAUGCUUUGUUUGAUUUGGAUGGACGUUUUCGCCGCGUUAAAUGUAAACUGGAAUUUGGAUGAAACUUGGAAAUGCAACAAUAAUACUUAGUAGAGAGGAAGGAAAUGGACUGAGUUAAAAAAUAUAUAUAACAGCUUUCUCCAUUAACACAUUUCUCUAAAUCCUAACAGCUUUGUUUGGAUUCUAAAUUUUUUAGAGUUUUUAUAAAAAAAAUAUAACAAUAAUGAUGUGAUGUAUGUAAAAUAAAAAUUUAUUAAAAUAAUUUUAAUAAAAACUAACCAUCUAAACCAGCAAUAAAUUUAUCGAUGCCAUACGAAUGCAUGAAUCACUCAAACGCAACAUGUUCAAAUCAUUCAAUUUCUCUCUUCAAAAGACUGGGAAAUCCAGGUAAAAUUUCAAACUCGUCGCGGUCAUAAUAAUUAGAUUUUUGCUACCCUCGUGCGCUCGAUUGAUUAUUCAAUUCUAAACGAUAUUCAUCUAGAAACUUUCUUAAUUCAUGCUCUUCAAAAUUAUUAAGCUUGACAAAGUUCAGCACAAAACGGGUUGUGUUUGUUCCCAACGCCCAUACUUUUAUUAUUUCUACUCAAAAAAUGCCAAAAAAAAAUAGAGGAGGAGAAGCGUAACAUAUUUUCCAACCUUUCUCGUGAUUGCAUGACAUAUUUUCAUUUUUUUUUUAGUUUUACUUAAACAGUAUGCCACAAAUUCUGUUUGACCAUUUGAUUUAGGAACAUUGGGCUUUCUUGCUGGUAAAAGGUGAACAAUGUACAAACUUUUGAAGUGGCAUGUUUGAAUGCGUGUGAAUAAAGCCGGAUGGAGGUAGGAGGCACGAAAAGCAUUUCAUUAUAUAUACUAGUGUAUACUCCCAAAGUCCACAGACUUGGCUUGUAAUUGUCGCCCUUCAAAAUUCGACCAUGAAUAAAAAAUCACGUGUCCGUGUGCGUGUGGAGGUGGUGAAGUGAGGCGUUGUCGGCAAUCUGAGGCUGGUCAAAUUUGGACGAAUCAAACUUAUCUAAUCACCUUUGCACCAGUCCAACAUCAACCCCCGGUGGCCGGUGGGGGCCCCUAUUAGUAUUAGUAUGAUUUGGCGUUGUUCUUCUUCUUUUGACUUAAAUGCUGGGCCCCUCUGGUUCUGAUCUCACCGGUGAUUAAACUAGCGGCAGCCACGUGUAAAACUAAACACCCCCUCCUUAAGGCUCAGCCUUCCUGGCCAGCCAGUAUCUGUGCAUUGCAUGCUCUGCCAAUCUGCUGCUACAAUUUGCAGCAGGGGAUAAGAUAAGCUUCAGCUUCAAGUUCUGUGCUAAAAGUAUGUAAUGGGAAUCAAGAAUUAAUUGAAGAAGAAGCACUGCUUCUUUUUUUUGCCAAAAUGUAUCAGCUAAACAGGCUUGUGAUUGCUGACAAAAAGGCAAAUUUUGCUGCCUCCCAAUAUCAGUAGCUUUGACAUUUUACUGACUUACUCUUUUAGUUUUGUGGUCCAACUCCGAUCAAUUAUUGUCCACCCAAAAACUUAGCGGUGUUUGGCCUGCAAUUUUGUGUAAGAACGUGAAACGCAUUUCUCAAUCACCACGUUGUUGACUAAUCGGCGUAAACGACGAAUACCCAAAAGGGCAUUUUCUUUCCCUGUCAAUUACUCCGUCCAUCGGAAAGGGGUGCAAGAAUUGCCAUUACAAUUGUUAUAAUCGCGUCCAACGCAAUUGGUUAAUAGAAAGUAAAUUGCCGUUUGUAAUCGGUGGAUAAUGACAAAACAACCUUCUUUAUAAAAAGUAAAUUUAACAUUCCGACUCUGAAUGAUGUAGGUUCUCUAGUAGUAGUAGUCUCCACACUCAGAGCAAACAGUCGUUUUUUUUAAAAAAAAAAAAAACAAUUUUUAUUUAAAAGUGAAUUUAACUUUGCGUAAAAAUGAAGGAAAAACUCACCUCAACAGGUAGCCCGUGAGAGCUUAUCCUCUCUUUAUCUUAUUGCGCUUUUCAAUUGUCAGCGAAUCACAUCUCAUAAUUGGAGAGACAAUUAUAACAAACUCCUAAGACUAACAAGAGAUGAGAUAGCACAGUGAAAGUGACCUUGAAGGCCUUUUAUCCGCUAAAAAUGAUCGAUUAAGAGAGUAUGUUGGAUCAACAAUGAUGGAGCUCUCAAGUCGGUUGUUUGCAUCAAGUGUCAACUACUAGGUGUUAAAACAUACUUAUCACUCAUUAAACUACUAAUCCUCAUUAGUAUAAAAUUUGCAUCAAAUCCCGCUCAAUACCAGAGCCAUAGAUUCUAGUAAUGCUGGAAAAAAGGAUUGAUCAGGUCAGGAGCCCGUGGAGGCAGGUAGCUUUAACGUUUUCAUGGUGGAAAACAGUUGUUGUCCAUAAAUGCGAGUUGUGUUCAUGUAACUAGUUUUGAGCCAUCAAUGGGUGAGAGCGGCACACAGCCUACAGUUGUGCAGUUCAGGCCCAUCAAAUUAUUUAGCUAGCUAACGUAUUAGUGUUUGGAUUAUGAUGAAUCUUUACGACGAUAAUGUGAUAAAGAUAAACUUCUACAAUAUGUAGUAUGCUGUUUUUUAAUAUGUAGCAUGCUGCAUUCAAAUCUCAAGCAUGACAAAUGGAAAAAAAAAAAAAAAAAAGGAUGGGUUUGCCUAAUAAACUUCAAAAGAGUGUGUUUGGACGGGAGAUUAUUUGUCCGAAUUUAUUUGCUUAUAUCAUCAUUGCGAUUUUCAAUAUAUUUUUUUAUUUUUUUAAUUAUUUAUAUAUAUAUAUAUAGUAGUCAUUUUGGUGGGGCUGAGAGAGAGAGAGAGGGUGGGGGUGGGAAAAGAGUGUCAAGGAAUAAGGACGUGAUAAUCAACCGUACCAAGACAUAACAUCUACCAGAAUUUUGAGGCAGAUUGAUGAAGUAAUCAAACGACAAGAGUAUCCGAAUAAUAGAGUAAGGGGUCAACACUCCUAUCUACAAAAUUUGUAGCAUGAUUUUUGAGAGCUCCUCUUCGAUUUGAUGCCCAUCAUUCUCCCUCCCAGACGUCUCUUUUCUUGACAAAAUGGCCAUAUCAUGUACAUGCCUCUAUGUUAAAUGCAAUUUGGACAGCUACCAAUCAGCUGUACAAAUAGCUCCUCAAGUUACAUGAAUCUGCCCACCCGCAUUCAAGCCUUUCAAUUCCUACUACUACUACUACUUAGGGGGCGUUUGGUUCGCACGUCGGAAUCGGAUUCGGAUUCGGAAUCGGAUAUCUUGGGUUUGGAAUGAGGUCAUUCAUUCCAAUAUAUUUGUUUGGUUCAAGUACCUGGAAUGUGUAUCAUUACUAUAGUUGAUGUUUGGUUCGUCGACUCUUUCGGAAUGGAAUAUAAUAAAUAUAUUAUAAACCACAUCGUAAAUGAUAAUUAUUGGCUCUUUGUAAAUAAGAUAUAAGAAAUUUUCACUAAUUAAAUAUAUUAGUAUAAAUGUAUUAGUAAAUAUAUUAGUAUAAAUGUAUUGGUAAAUUUAGAUAAUAAUAUUAUCAUUAUAAAUUUGUAACUAAUUCAAUUCAAUAUCAUAUAUAUAAUUAAAUAUAAAUAUAUAAUUAUAUAAUUAUAUAAUAUAUACAAAUAUUAAUUAUACUAAUAUUUUAUAUAAAUAUAAUAUAUAUUACAUAUUAAAUAUAGUUAUUAUUAUAUAUUAUUAUAUUUAAAAUAAUAAUUAUUAUAAUUAUAUAACUUAUUAAUAUUACAUACAUGUAUAUAUUAUAAUUAUAUGCACAUAUAAUAUACAUUUAUAAAUAUACAUAUAUAUUAUAAAUAUAAUAUUAUAUAACAUUAAUAAAUUUAUAAUAUAUAUUAUAUAAGUAUAAUUAUAUUUAACUAAAUAAUUAUAAUAUAUAAUUAUAUAAUACAAUAACAUCAUUAUUGUAAGUUUGUAACUAAUUAAAUUAAAUGUUAUAUAUAUAAUUAAUUAUAAUUAUACAAACGCUAUAAAAUAAAUACAUAAUUAUAAUUAUAUAAUAUAUAAAUAUUAAUUGUACUCAUAUUUUAUAUAAGUAUAAUGCAUAUUAAUAUUAGAUAUAGUAAUUAUUAUAUAUUAUUGUAUUUAAGAUAAUAAAUAUAAAUAUAAAUAUAAUUAUAUAAUUUAAUGUUAUAUACAUGUGUAUAUUAUAAUCAUAUGCACAUAUAAUAUGCAUUUAUAAAUAUACAUAUAUAUUAUAAAUAUAUUAUUACAUAAUAUUAAUAAAUUUAUAUAUAUAUUAUAUAAAUAUAAUUAUAUUUAACUGAAUAAUUAUAAUAUAUAUUUAUAUAAUGUACUAAUAUUAUAAUUAUAAUAUAUUAUAUAUAUGUACAUAAUUAUAAUUAUAUAAUAUAUAAAUAUUAAUUGUACUCAUAUUUUAUAUAAGUAUAAUGCAUAUUAAUAUUAGAUAUAGUAAUUAUUAUAUAUUAUUGUAUUUAAAAUAAUAAAUAUAAUUAUAUAAUUUAUUAAUAUUAUAUACAUGUGUAUAUUAUAAUCAUAUGCACAUAUAAUAUGCAUUUAUUAAAUAUACAUAUAUAUAUUAUAAAUAUAUUAUUACAUAAUAUUAAUAUAUUUAUAUAUAUAUUAUAUAAAUAUAAUAUAUAUUUAUAUAAUGUACUAAUAUUAUAAUUAUAAUAUAUUAUAUAUAUGUAUAUAUUAUAAUAUAUAAUAUAUAUAAAUAUUAAUUAUAUCAUUGUAUAAUUAUAAUAUGUAAUUGGAUUUGUUUCUUGGAAUCAAACUUGGGAAUCGGACAAAACCCACCAAAAUACUAGGGAAUGGAGAAACACCAAAUUUUUAGAAAUCAUUCCAAGAUUUCAAUUCCCAUUCCAGUGAACCAAACACCAUUUAUGGGGUUCAUUCCAUUCCCCGAAUCCGAUACCCUCUUACCAAACGCCCCCUUAGUUUCUUGAGUAAGUUGGGAACGAGGUCCACGAAUGUGUGCAUUGGUUAUUUCUAGGUCUCUUUUUUCUUUUUUUUGCUUUACACGCCAAAGUUUAGUUAGGUCGCUUGAUAUCCUAAGAUGUUACGAUUAAAUUCCGGCAAAGGCCACUCAUUGGGCGUGUAGUCUAUCAACUAUUUAUCGAAAUUCAAACGCGAAAAUUUCAGUUCAUUCACAUAGAUUUUUUAAAUAAAUAUAUGUAUAUAUUUUUCUUAUUUUUUUAAUUUCAUAUACAUCACUUUACAGGAAGCACUGUAACAAAAAAUUUACUUGAAAACUGCAAUCCAAGCAAAGCCGAUUGGAAAAGAGUUGAACCCUGGCACUAACUAAAUCAUGAGAAAAAUGGUAAGUUUGUUUAUGGUAAUUCUUGAACACAGGCCGCCCGCAGCCAUUAAUAAUACUACGUACCGCCUUCUGCACAAAAACAAAUAAGCAACACGUGUGAUAAUGACACGUCGGUCAGAAGAAUUCCUUCGCGACCUAAUUUGACGUUGACGAAACAUUACGACAUCGUCUACUCAUACUCAAUGCGACGGCCAUAUUUUAAUAGUAUUAAUGAUUCUCUCGGUCCAAUUUCUGACCAGUCCCAACUGUUCCAAAACUCAAAAUUAAAAAUUUUCUUCUACCGAUUUUAAGAAAAGUUGCUGACGUGCAAAAAUAAGGUCAUGGCCUACACCAUGGUCGGGUUAUCCGCUUGAAAAUUAUCCGAAUAACUGAGAUGAAAAAUAUUUAACAAGCAUCAACUGUAUGAUUUUUUGUAAUAUACCCCAAGAGAGAAUAAUAGGUCACCACCACAUUUUACCGCACUGUUCUAUCUUUCAUUCUCAAGACUCGACUUAACUAGUAAAGACGUUAACCAAAUACAAGGGAAUUUUUUGGACUGAGAAAAAAAAAAGUUGAAUCUCUUCUUCAACUUGCGUGUGUCAAUGGAAAAAGAGAGAGAGAGAGAGAGAACAAAGAUGAUUAGUUUCCUAACUUUCAUUUCAAACAGUUUAAGUUUAAAAUUCAAAUUUUGCUCAUAUGUCAUUCAUCUAACAUCAUUAUAGUGUCAUGCGUAUCAAUCAUCUUAAUGAAAAAUUGCAAUAAUCUUUUUAGAGUUAAUCUUAUAUACAUUUACAGUGUAUAUAUUGUUAUCAUUAGAUGCAUGGCAACUCAUCUGAAUUUAAAAUUCAAAUUUUGCCUAUGUGUCAUGCAUAUAACCACGACAGUGUAUACAUUAUCUAUCAUGAUUAGAUGCAUUAUAGUAUAUGAGUAAAAUUUGAAUUUUAAAUUUAUAUUUAGACAAUUUGUCGUGCAUCUAAUUAAUUUAUCUUCCCAAGACAAAAUUAAUUUAUCUUCUUAAGAACUAUUAUGCUCCAUGAGAGAGGGGGGCAAUGCAAUGUAAGAUUACCCCGUGCGUUAAGUCACAAACAGUUUGGUUUUUGGUUGUGCAUGCGUCAGUCACAGCUUGGAGUUUCACGGGGAGCGUUAUUACGUAGAGGUAAAGUUAUGAGCCUAUUAUUAAUAAUAAGGACAGAUUCGCAGCAAGUUGCAGAAUUUUGUUGACUCGAUAAAAGACUGGCUCGUGGAGCCAAUUAAGAAUUAAUGCAGGUGAAGAAAAUAUACUUGUAAUGCAGGAAGGCAUAUCCCUAAGUAACUCCAAGGCCUGAAUAGAAGAAUCAUAUGGUUUUUUUUUUUUUUUGGGUAUCAAGAAGUUGUACGUACCGACAUAUAAUUGUGCAGACUAAUUAUUAUUGAUUAGUAUGUCAUUGUCAAUAGCAGCUAUCCACCUAAUUGAUUUUUUAGGAUGCAUCCAUCCUUCCUUCCAUCCAUUCCACAUAAAAUGUAUGCAUCCAUUAUCCAACUAAAGUAUGCAGUUUAAUCGGCGACACGAGUAAUUUCGUGAGUACUAUGUUAAUGCAGGGAGCAGUCAAAGUAAAAGUCUCUCUCACUAUGUACAACGAAAUGUACCCGACCGCUUUUCCAUAAUUAAUCGAAUUGAAAACGUUAAUCAUGACAAUUAACAUUAUAUGGUGCGCCGGUAAUAGAAUUUGUCAUCUCCGACUUUUUCAAAUAGUCUUGUAUUCAAAUGGUUUUUCCGGUUAAUGUUUAUUGAAGGGAAGAGUAGGAGCGUAGUGGUUAAGUCAUAAAACCGUAUGUACCAAGCAAAUAAGAAGCGCUUGUGAUUCUAGUUUCUGGCGGCAGUAAUUUUCGGCCCAUUGACCAUAAAAUCAUACAUCAACAACAACUUCCAGUUCCAAGCAAGUAACGGGCAAUUCCGUGCAAGUAGACGAACGAAACCAACACCUCCAAUCCAAAGCUCCAGCUGCCUCAAGCAAGUAACUCCAUGCGUGCUGUGGGUUGCGAUCGGUGAUGCUGAUAUAGUAGUAUAUGGUCCGGAGUUAGCUUUGGAUUGGUCAAAAAUUUGAGGCGGCUGGAGCUUUGGAUUGGAGGUGUUGGUUUCGUUCGUCAGCUUGCACGGAAUUGCCAAUGCCUGGCGAGAUGACAACUGCGCAGCAUUCAAAACAUUUGUGCUUUCUUAAUCUUAAUAAUGCCUGGCAUACUCAUUUAUUUGAAGAUCCAUAUACACUACUGUAUUUUGGUGAAGAAGACUACUACUAUAAGUCUAUAACCAAGCUCCUCUUUGUUCAACACUUUGACAGACAUGAACGAAAGUGACUGACGACUUAUUAGUCUUACUUCUCUUUUUAUUCAUAUUUAUAGUUUGUGUGUGUCUGUCUAUAUAUAUAUAUUGGGCUUUAAUUAAUGGUUAUCUGCAACAAUCUGUUAAAAAAAUACGGCUCAAUCGGAACAAAAUUCAGAGAAAAAUCAUCCUUACUGUAAUAUCAAAGGCACUGUAACAGCCCUGUAAGUUACUGUGCAAAUACUGCAAGACUAACGAUGGAGCAAUUCUUUUCUACCUCAACAUCCAAACAAGGAUAUAUAUAUAUAUAUAUAUAUAUAUAUAUAUAUAUAUAUAUAUAUUCUUCAACUCUGUGACAAAUAUAAAAGUUGCACAAAGACUUUAGUGAGUGAUGUAAAAUUAACCUACAUCUCAAUUAUUGGAAGUCUUCUUGACAAUUUAUGCAAGUUUUUGGCGGUAGGGAGGCCGGAUGGAUCAGAUUCCACGGGCCGUACAAUCACGUAGACCUGACCUGAUUUAUCAUUUUUGUCCCUUUUCUCGGUCUUUCUUUUUUUCACAAAUGGAAGUAGUAGUACUAGUACCAGUUAGUGCAAAUUUCAAACUCGUGUGAUGUAGAUUUGUCCAGCUUUCUUUUUUAUUUUUUUCCUGUGUUGGUCUUCGGUUGUUGUAAUAUCACUGUCCACUAUUUAAUCUCAUGAAUUGUAGUAGUACUUCUUUUCAUUAUACAAUCCCUUGUCUUUGUCGGGCCGCAUUUUUAGAAUUAACCGGUCGACAAGACGUGAAUGUUUUGCAACUGCAUUAUUAUGCCAAAAACUCUUUCAACUCCUCCUUUCCCUUCCCCCUCCUCCCCUCUCCCCAUGCCACCCCCAAUUUUCAUUUUAGAGUACUGAUAUUUUUCAUUUUUUCUAUUCGACUAUUUCUUUAAUUAUUCACUCAUUUUUCAAUUACUUUUUGAACUUCUUGUUUUGGGUCAAAGAUUUUGAUAAUACUACGUGAUGCAUUUAUGAAUGCAAAAAGUUCAAGACAAUUGUCUCAAAGCAGAGUUGUUUAGGGAGUCUGACGAAGAAGCAUCGCUUUGUUCGGAUAGAACAUUAUUUUAAAUAAUAAUAUAAUAUUUUUUGUGACAUGAUGCAUGUGAAAUAAAAAGGUGAUGAAGAAAAUUUUUUUAAAAAAAAAGGUUACAAAAUGUAUUUAUAAUAGAAGCGAAAUAAUAUUUGUAAAUAACGACUAUUUUAAUGAUACGAGAUUCCUGGGCUGAAAUGAUUAUAAUCGUGUGGGCUUUUUAUAAGCCCCGUUCCUAUUAAGAAAUUUGAGUCACGGUUCUGGCUCUAGAUGAAGCUGCUGGGCUUUGCCUAAAGUGUUGAGGUAAGAAACGAUACACAGCCCGAUACGUCUUGAGACCACUUAGGAAUCCCUUUAUAUAAUCGUGUAAUCGAUAAACCAAGGUACAGAGCUCUAAAAAUGUAUCGAGUCUAAUGGUGGACGAGAUUAAAACAAAAAAUAAUCAAAUAAAUGAAGUGAUUAAUGGUGGGCUUUUUUAUGUCAAACAACUAAUGGCGGACUGAAUGAAGGUUAUAAUUCUGAUAUCUGAUCAGUGCUACAGUUUAUUUCACUGGAUGUAUUAGUGAGGAAGCCUUGCUCUUUUAGGGCCCAACUAUAUCAAUCAGCCCAAUUUAGUUGGGUCAGCACUCAGCAGUUUGGGUGAAUUGAGUUGAGUCGAGAUGCGCCGUUCUAGUUCAACUUCAAUUAAUAAAUUUACACUCGAGUUUAAAUUUGAAUUCAAUUUUGUUUUGCAAUACUCGAGUUCAAUCUCGUGCUCAUCGAGUCUAAUCGAAUUUAAUUUGAGCUUAAUUAGUCUAAUCAAGUUUAACAGAUAUAAAUUUAAAUUUAAAUAAGCAUACAAUAGAUAUUUUAUAUAAAUCAAUAAAAAAAAUUUAAAAAGUGUGUGCGCGAAAUUCUAUUGGACUUGAUGAGUUCGUGAACUCUUCACAUAUUAAAUUCGAGCUCGCUUUAGCAAGCAGCUCAAGCUAUUCAAAUUGAUCAACGUGGGGUCGAGUUUCAACUUUGAUUGAGCAACCUCAAUUAAGUUAGCGUAACAAUUUGUUCCUUCUAUUUUUUCCCCUUUGUGAGUGGCAAUUGUUAAAUAACGGUAGCCUAAUUUUUUUUUUUUUUUUUGCCCUUUUUCGAGGGAACGGUAGCCUAGUUCAAGUGGCAAAUAUCAAAUUGAUGUUUUCUUCCAUGCUUUAAAGUUCAAUCCUUUCUUGUUGAGUUUCCUCAAUGGGUUUUUCCUGUUGUUCCACGAUUUAUCGGGAAAAUUCAAUCCAAAUCCACAAGGCCAAGGCCGAAUUUUGUACGACAGAGGAGCUGGGAACUAGGAACGCUAACCCAAUCCUCAAUUAAGCUGAAAUACGCAGGGGCUUACGUUUUAUUUGCUGUUUUGUUGUGUCCGAUGCCAACUCAGAUGGUGAAAUAGCCAUUUUAGACUGACUUUUUUCAGAGAGAGAGAAUUUUCUACCAGGAGAUGAUGGCCUUUCGUUGGCACCUUCGGAAACACUCCCCUUUUAAUUUUUUUUUUUAUUCCCGCCCCGGUUUCUUCCCCCUCCCGACUAAACUAAACUAACUGAAGCAGCAUACUAUAAAUUCAAUGGACGAAUGUUUUUCUGCUUAGAGUUAACAAUAAGAAAAGUUGCAAUUUUUCUUGACUUGAGCAUCAAAAGAAAAGAAAAGGAAGACAAAUAAAUGGGUUGGAGAGGGAUUCUGGGAUUUGAGUAUGGAAUAGUGCAGGCACCAUUGGGACCAGAUAUUUCAGGUCCAGAGCUUGUAGCUGCUGUUGCUAACGCUGGUGGACUUGGUCUCCUUAGAGCCCCUGAUUGGGUAAACCCUUUUUCUUCUUCCUUUUUUUUUUUUUUUUUUUGAAUGAUCAGUUUUUUGGUUCAGUUUUUUAUGUUUUAAAUUUUAUGUUGACAUUUCUGCAGUGUACCGUUGAGCAUUUGGUACCCGGUAGCUUUAGCAAUUCCACGUUACUAUUUCAAACUCUGAGAAGGACUACUUUCGUUUACUUUUUCUUUUAUUUGCUUUUCAUUUUCCUGUGAUUUGCAUUGCUUUCCUUACCUCCAAAAAGUUGCAUUAGUGAUAGUUUUGUAUUAGUCUAUGGUUUUGAGCUUUAAAGUGUCUCCUAGAGUCAAAUUUGAUGCUAGUCUUCUCCCCGUUGAGCUCACAACUAAUAUGCCAGUAAUUGCAAUUUUGUUCCUUUUUCCAAAAAUAAACUUGCAUUGGCUUCAGGUUAUGGCUUUCUCAUCCUGAUAGGAUAAUAAGGGUUACUGGUGCUACAUUGAAUGUUAGCACAAAAUAAAAACUGGUAAUUGUACUAAUCAUUGAGGCUUAUGUUCAUGAUCCACGUUUACCCUUGUCGAAUUAGUUACUACUAAGUUGUUGAAAUGCCAUGAUGUGAUUUCGUAGUCUUAAUUCAACUCAUUGAAUAAUAUGGUGAUUGUGAGAGGGUCUCAAGGAGUCAGAUAAGAGAAUGCUCCAACUUAUCACUAACUGUAAGGAAGACGUGCAUGCAGACUCCCGUUAAAUGUUCUUUUUUCUUUUUAUUUUUCGUAGGGUAAUAUGUAAUAUUUCUAAACGCGCUUGCAUAACAGGAGGCACCGGAUUACCUAAAAGAGCUAAUAAGGAAGACCAGAACCCUGACUGACAAACCUUUUGGGGUUGGUGUUGUUCUGGCUUUUCCGCACAAGGAAAACAUAAGGGCUAUACUGGAUGAAAAGGUAGCGGUCUUGCAGCUUUCCUGGGGUGAGUGCACAAGUGAUAUAGUGCUUGAGGCUCACAAAGUCGGGGUCAAGGUUGUACCACAGGUUAGUCUUGUGAGCUGAUUUUGCUGUUUGAGAUAAAUGUCCUUUUUUGUGCUUGCAAUUCCUUAAUAACAGUUGAGAUUGCACUAAUAUCAUAAAGGUGGGGAGCUUUGAAGAAGCAAAGAAAGCUGCUGAUGUGGGUGUGGAUGCAAUAAUUGUCCAAGGACGGGAAGCUGGUGGACAUGUUAUUGGACAGGUAUAGUUGUUAGUGUACUCAUCAGAUAUAUAUUACUUCAGUUCAAUGUAAAAAUGGAGUGGUAUCUUAUUGAAUUUGCUUCAUUUUCACAAAACAUUGCUUUGCUAUUGCAUACAAGUGCCCAUAAAUUUUUACAUAUUGUUAUACUAUACACCGUUGUUAUGUUAAGAUUGUGUUAUGAAUGGUUUUGUAACCUUGAAAUGAAAUUAACUUGACUAGAAUGAUAUAACUUAAUUUGUUCCUUCUCUGAAUCUGCAUUUGGGUAUAAGUAAUGGGUGUACCUAGAUAUAGGAAAAGGUUAUACUCUUGUACAGGGUACUACAAUUGUAGACCAACAUUUAAAAUUCGAUAGGGAAUCUGUAAACUAUGUGUUCUGCAGUUUGCUAGUUGCCUAAACAUUUCAGGCUUCCAAAACCUUCCAUUUUUUAAGAGCAUCUUUACAUUGCAAGUGACUGACUUGUAUAACUUGUAAUUUAAUUUUUGAGGGCAUUUCUUGAGACACUUCAUUUAUACUUUGAAAUUGAAGUUCCAAGGUAUAGUUGAAUCCUAGCUCCACAUCUGUGAAAUAUUUAUGCCAUGGUUUUUAAGGCAUCUGUUAGUUAAACAUCCUCUGACCAUGAGCAGUUUCUCUCUCCGUAUUCUCUCAGAGUUCUGAAAUUGACCCGCAUUGGAAAAUUUGCAGGGUGCCUUAAUUUCUUUGUUGCCAAGGGUAGUUGAGCUUGUUCAGGGUCGUGAUAUACCAGUUAUUGCUGCCGGUGGAAUAGUGGAUGAACGUGGUUAUGUAGCUUCCCUGGCCCUUGGAGCUAGGGGGAUUGCAAUGGGCACUAGGUAUGUGACUUCUUUGGUUGUUAGUUUUCUUUAUACCCGCUUUUAUUUGAUGAAAGCACAGUAUCUGGUUAAUCUUCGGACGGAGUAACAGGGAUUCAGUCUGCUUUUAUAAAAGUUUCCACUGUAUAAUCUCUGUUCUUGGUGCAAUCGCUAGAAACCAUUGCAUUCUGCAAUGAACAUUCUAAUCAUUGGCAAAGUUCUUACCAUUCAAUGCUUAUCCACUUUUUCUGAACAACUUUUGGAUUUUGUGUCCUACAAACUCUCGAUUAGCUUGAUAUUCUCUGGUUAGAGGUUUUGGAAUCAAAAAAACGAGAAGUAAACUGUACUGUUAUAUAUACAUUUUAUGUUAUCAAACUAAAAUGUCUGUUGUGGAAUUGGAGCUAUUUGGUCAAUUAUUUUGUACCAUGAUUGUACCUGGAUUUAGUGGCAUCUAACAUCAAUAUGUUUCACAAGUGGGUACCAACCAAAUGCUACACAAGUAAAGAUAUGAGCCAGAGUAUAUGUCAGCCAGCUAGAAAUAUAUGGUUCAAACAUAUUUAUGCCUAAGUAAUUCACCAAUAUGUGUCCAAUUUCUUUGAUAUUUGAUAAGAUUGGUCUUGCAUUGCCAUUUUCCUAAUUCCAUUAGACCAUCUUUGAUAGUGCAUCAUAACGAUGCUUGGUGUACUGAACGGUGGCUAACUCAUUUUUCCUAGAUUUCUUGCUACGGAUGAAAGCUAUGCUCACCCAGCAUAUAAGCAGAAGUUGAUCAAAUUUGAUGAAACAGAGUACACAGAUAUAUUUGGCCGUGCAAGGUGGCCUGGAGCGCCUCAACGUGUUCUGAGGACUCCAUUCUUAGUGGAAUGGAGAACUCUUCCCAGUGAUGAGAAUGAGACUAAUCAACCUACCAUUGGUCAUUCCACCAUACAUGGAAUGGUAAAUACUUUUCACUACUUGCCUUUCUUAAUCAUUUGGAUGUUCCUCCUUGAAGUUUUCCUCUAAUGUGUUGUAACUGUGAUUGAAAUUAGGAGAUAAUCUUGCUGAGGAGCUCAUUUAUUCAGUCACAGAUGCAGUCAUAUAACUAACGAAUUAUCUUAUUUGUAUCAAUAACUCUUUUUUUUUUGUUCUGUGAACAGUUAAUUGAGUGAUGUAGGUUUGUCUUAGCAGACAACCAAAUGAUGCUGACUAUGCACGUGUAUUAUUGCUUCAUUAGGUAAAGUGCUUGAGGUUGUGGUUGGGCUAAAUUAAAUUUGCCUGACACAGUUAAAUUUGUGGUUGUGCAGGAAAAAGAGAUUCGUCGAUUCGCUGGCACAGUUCCAAACCUGACAACAAGUGGUGAUGUUGAAAGCAUGGCCAUGUAUGCGGGUGAGGGAAUUGGCCUAAUUAAAGAUAUCUUACCAGCUGGGGAAGUCAUUAGGAGGAUUGUUGAAGGGGCUAAGCAUCUGAUCAAUCAACAAUUUGCCUGUGACAUGCAGGCUUAGGCAUCAGUUGAAUCGAUACAACUAGUUAAUGGUUGUAGUAGUAUACAAGAUUGCAAGUUUUAUGCCGGAGAAAUAAAUCACUGAGAGAAGGAAAGAGAAAUUAUGUGUGUUUAACCAGUCAAGUUACUAUGUGCUGUAUUGUAGGAAAGAACAAAAUAUUGUAUCAUCUUCUUUAGUAGGCAAGAAAUAAUUUUAUCUUGUGUUUACCUCCUUCUUGGUAAGCAUGUGCUUCAGGGUUUACGAUUUCAGAUGUGCAACGCAGUUGAUCUCAGUACAAGCCCAUCCUGGUCGAGUAAGCACUCUACAACUUAAUAAUAUUUGUUCCAAUGCUCAUUCUACAAGAGUAUAUGGUAGAAAUGUGGUGGUAGCAGCAUGACAGUCAAUUGACAAAAUAAGAUUCAAUCAAAUUUUGAAAUGAAACUAGAGUGCGUAAAUUGUGGCUAUUUGCGGAAAAUUUCCGCUUUGAAAGGAAAUUUCGGAAUUAGGGUUUCAAUUAACCCCAUUCUGCCCGGUAUUGUUUCUCCUAGUUAGAGGCCGAAUUAGCCUUGGGUUAAAACAUGAAAGUUGUAGAGAAUGAUAUUUUAUAGUUGCCUGUAAAAUUUCAACCCAAUCGGAGUAACGUAGCACGUGAAAAGACUGAAAUACCCCUGCUGCCCUGUUUCUGUCCGAAGCUGAUUAUGUUUCUGUCCGAAACUGAUAAUUAGCUUCUGUAAUUGGUUAGUUUGACCGGAAAUACUACUGAUUUGGUUGUCGAUGUUUUCUUAAGAAUUAUAUAUUUGUAUCUUAGCUUUCAGAUGGCUUUGGAAUCACUUGAAUUGGAGUCGUAUGUGCUGAGAUAUAAUCGAACGAAUCAGGACUGCCACAGUAAACUUCGAAUUGAAAAAUCUGGGAUUGUUUUGGUAAAUUUGACCUAGAUACAUUGUAAACUGGACUGAGUGGCCUUCUUCAACAUUGUAACCCUUUCUUUUAGUUUCGAAACGGUGUAUAUUACACAUCCAUCCGAUAGUCGUAGCGCCGGUUGGAUCCAAUACACUAAACGAUAUCAAAACUGUUUUUGGGUUUUAGGGUUUAACUUUCAUUUCCGGUCAUUUUCCUAGCUAAAUUUUGUACUCGAAUGACUUUGAGCCUAUUGAACGGCUGUUGUGAUGAAUUUAUAUUGCGUAUGACUUUGGGAUUGAUUGUGGAAAAUAAUGAAGUCAUAAGUGGCUGGAAAAAUGGGUAAAUACAGAGAGCAUGCUGCCCAAAAUUUUAGGGCUACACGAUUGGGUAAAAACGAAGCCCUAAUUGUAUUUUGUUUAGUAUGAGUACCUCGGAUCACACUUUAUGUUAAUUUGUUCAAGACUUCAAUGUAAAUAUAUGUAUAAGUGUUUAACCUUGUCGAUUAAAUGUAUUCCGUUGAGACUGUGAUUUUAUGGUUUGGUAGGCAUGUUCUCACCUUAGUAGUUUCCGAUUGUUCAUUUUCUUUGGGUCCUAUCUCGCGUACUAUGCUGGAUUUGUGUGAAUCGAGUCCGUGGUCCUGGCAAGAGUUGGGCAGGCGGUCCGCCGAACCCUUUGAUUUGCCUUAGAGUGAGGUGGGGCUGUCACAGGUGGUAUCAGAGCCACUUCGCGUGGCCUCUGCGCGGAGUGAGAUUGGGCCAAGUGGUGUUAUGGUCCUACUUUCGUGAAUGCGUCGAAAGGUAUAAGUGCUCUUUUGAACAUAAGUUAUGAACUGUGCAUGUCAUAAGUGUAAAGAUCUUUAUCAUAGGACUUGGGGAAGUUAGGUAUGUAUGUCAGGUAAGAAUCUUUAAUAUGGAUGAUUUACACUUGGGACCGGCCUGCUCGAGUUGUGAAUUAUCUUAGAUGGGAUUCUUGCGCCCGAAUACGAAAGAGAUGAGAGUUUAGGUUAGAAAGGACUUAGACGAACUAGAAACGCAAUUCUAUGAAAUUUCGUGUGGUUUGUUCGAGUGUGGUUAAGCGUGAUCAACUUUCAUUAAGAUAUAAAUGGUGUUGUUCUCGUAAAUUAUGGACGGAACCCUAGAGGGGGAAAAGCUUUUCGUUAGUUUUUUUUGUACUCGUGACCUAGUCUGUCUAUAGUACUUUUGGAUGACCCCGUUACUUUCAUGGAUCUCUCAUAUUUGUAUCUAAUUGACUGCUACUGUGUGACUGGUUCGGUACAGUUGUGUGUAUAUAUAUGCUUUUGAUCUGUGAGUACCUCUUGUUAUUUGCUUAUGCCUAUAAUUAUCUUUAAUAUUAUCUUUGCACCUCGACCUUAGAUUGACUUAGAUCAAUGAAGGGCACUUGUAGUGUACGAGGCCGCGGGCGUGGAAUUAGGCAACCCACUUCUGAAAGGGGCACUGGGGAAACUUCGCCUGGACCUAAUCCUGAACCUAGGGUUGAUCCUAACGUCCAAAUAGCUGCUGCUAUGCAGCAAAUGACUGAUUUGCUAGCUCAAGUGGUGCACCAACAGGGUCACAACCCUAACCCCAACCCUGGGAACCCUGGUAACCACGUGGAAAGCGAGGACUGGGCCCUCGAGAGAUUCCAGAAGUUUGUCCCACCAAAGUUUAUUGGAGGACCC
rnacentral:lncRNA from 1 species